rnacentral:lncRNA from 1 species
UGGAAGACUCCAAUCCACAUUCUUUCGACAGCACGUGAUCUCCAACAACAUAACUCCAAAGCUAUAAACAUCUGCUUUAACUGUCACCGGCAUAUUCCGGUGCCAUUCUGGUGCUACAUAUCCCCUCGUCCCUCUCAUUCCGGUGAAGGUUUUUGUUUGGUCUGACUUCAGAAUUUUUGCCAAUCCAAAGUCAGAAACUUUGGGGCACCUGCUUUCAUCUAUUAGUAUAUUCUGAGGUUUUAUAUCACAGUGGAUGAUCUGAGUGUCGCACUCUUCAUGUAGAUAAACAAUACCCCUUGCAAUUUUGCGAGCAAUUUCCAAUCUUUCAGGGAAGCAAGGUCGUUUUUCAAGUGAGAAGAGUAUGUCAGCGAGGGAGCCAUUGCUCAUGUACUCGUACACCAGGAGCCUGUGAUGUUCAUCAUGGCAAUAGCCGAGCAGACGGGCUAGGUUUCUGUGAUGUGUUUUCCCAAUGACUUCCAUCUCAUUCUGAAAUUCUCUUUCCCCUUCAGCUAGAACUUUCUCCAGUCUCUUGACAGCAACAACCUUCUGAGUACUUGAUAUGAUCCCUUUAUAAACUGUCCCAAAUGAUCCCCUGCCAAUUUCUUCCUUGAAACCACCAGUAACAUCUUCUAGCUCUGCAUAAGUGAAAGCUCGAGGAGCAAAUACCUCAUUCAAUGCAGUACCAUCAUUAUUUUGCACCCUUUUAUAUGCCAAUAAAUGAUAUCUGUAAACGAUGAUUCCGAAAAUCGACACCAUAGCAAGCCCAAAAGCAACAAAUGAACCACUUAUUAUUAGGACUGUCCUGCUAGUGCCAAGGUUCUUCUUCUCCGUUAUAGGCUCUUUAUUGUCCAUGGUGGAUAUGGGUCUACCCACCUUGACGACAACCAAGUUCGAACUUUCUAAGUUUCUCCUCCCAAAUCUCAAAGGAAGCCUUUGCUUUCUGCAGUACUGCCCAUCAGUGAAUAAUGCUGCUUCACAGUUACAGUCUUCCAAACAGGCUUGCUUACAAUUGUCUUUAGUUGUUGAUGACAAAACGGAGUAUGAAACAUCUUCCCACUCAGUAUUAGACAGCUCUUCCAUGGUGUAUGGGCUACUUCCAUUCUUGUCUUUGCAACUUUCAGCUUUGAAAUCCCUCUCACAGCCAGAAGUCCAAUUUCCCUGGGCAACAAACUCAAAUCCAGGAAGACAAGUACAUUCAGCUUCCUGAUCCUUCAUAACACAAUAUCCAUUAAGACCGCAUGAUCCUUUCGGGUCACACUUGUUGCUUGUGGAUGACCACACAGCUGACCAGUUUCCAUUCACUGUCAGAUUUUGUGAAUAUAAUCUGAAAAUCCCAUCAGCAUCAAGUUUCAUAAUAUUAAUUGUUUCUUUCGUGUGAUAUCCUCCAGCUGUAAUGUUUUCUAUGUUGAAACCUGUGGAAUUGAGCAGGUAGAGACGGCCAUCCGGAUCAAGAUUUAGGGUCACAUUACCCCCCGCCCAAUAAGUACCAGAUGCAAAAUAAGCAUAUUGAGGUGCAUCUGGAGUACUAACAGGAUACUGCACAAGGUUGCCAUCAUUUUGCAUCUUGAGUCGGUAAAUACCAGUUGAGAGUUCAGUUUCUGAAACAGGAGAAACCAGCUCUGCCCCUGCUCUGAGUUGUUGAGUUGGCAAAAGGGUAUCUGUUGGGUGGUCAAAACUCUGCCAUAUAAUCUCGCGAUCAGAAUUAUAUAGCACAAAGUUGCCUGAAUCAGACAUAGAAGCUAAAGAAGCUUUCUGGGAUGCAGAAACUAUCGGAGUCUCAUCCCCUUGUGCUGAUCUCAAGACAACCCUUCCUUCACUGGUGAAGAGCAAGGUCGCAUUACUGGGGACUGGGGCAUCAUCCCUUGUAGCAGCCCACACAACAGUCUCUAGUGAAAUCCCGGAUAGAAAAACCCCUAUAGAAUAGCCGUCGCGUUGUCGGAAAAAUCCGAAAGCAUAAAGACCGGAAGGUGACAACCAUGAGGAGUUUGUGAUAGGUGUUAGAGAAGAUCCGAGGGUUAUAUUGGUCUGUCUUUGAGCUGAAGCUGCAAAAGAUAAGGCGAGAAGAAGAAAAAAGAUGAUAGAAGCCAUGGAUAGGGAUUUAGCUCUUGUGUGGUAUGGAGUGUCAAUAUAAGGAUGUCUAUUGUUCCAGCACUCCAGUCUCUUUCUUUGGGUUCCAGCAGUGAAGCCAGGCACUCAGAACAUGAAAGUCUAGCCAUAAAAUCCACCGCGUUUCCCUACCAAUUAGUGGAUAUCCUUGCGCUUACUUGUAUGCUUUCAAAGUCAAUGCAGUCAAGUCACUGAAAAAUCUCGGCAAUUACCCUGCCAUAAUACUAGGGCAAGACAGAACAACUCGCUUGCUUAUACUAAUGUCCCUCAAAUGCUAAAGCCUAGCUAGCAACCUCAGUUUCUAACGAAAGAGCGCCUCUACAUGUUGCGUAACUAACAAUCCCUUGAAUAUUAAAACUGAAAAGUGGAGCACAUUGGACCAUUGAUUUUAUGAUCAGUUCCACUGUACGACAUUAUUCAGAGUACAACUGAGGUGGUCACGGCAAGGACUGAGUCAAGGGACAACCUAGCAUUUGCUGACCUGCUCUUCUCAGCAAAAGCUUCUUCUCUCACCAGCUUUAUGCCAUGGUUGCUGAUUGGAGGGGCUUUAUAAUUUAUUUAUUACAAAUGUGCUAUGAAAAAGAAAAAAAAUGCAAUGAUAUUUGUCACGACCCGAAUCCCGGAUCCAUGACCGGAACAUAGAUAAGGUUCCCUUCCAAGGUUUUAUACCUAUGCGAACCUAAACUUAUAUACAAACUUAUCCUUCAAAACUCAAUUAGAGUUCAACGCAGCACUAAUAACAAAAUAAACUUCAUAAUAUAAUUUGAUUGUCUUAAUACAAGAGUUCAUAUAAAUUCAUAUUUGUAGAGCACUAACUAGACAUAAAAGAAAAUAUAAAAUUACAACCAAAAUAGCAAGUUUUGAAGGUCCUACAAAAGUGACCUGCUAACAAACUAUAAGCCUGAAAAGAUAAAUAAUGAGAGGGUGAAUUCAACAACUGAGAGAGUAGAUAACAUUUAAUAUAUACACAUGAUGUAAUACAACAAUGAUGAAUAUAUACACAAUUAUAGCUCUAGGUUCUUAUAGGAACGUUUCUCAAAUAGGCCAUAACAAGAAUAUCAUAAGGUAAAACUCGUUAAAAAAUCAAAAUGCAAUGAGCAUAGGGCUCCGUAUUGUGGGAUGAUCAGUCCACACAGGUUGGUGAAUUGCUCGACCAACUAACAUAGUGGAAGCUUCUGUGGAAAUAGGACGCCGCCUAUUUCUGGGAAAAAUCGUUUGAAUCCUCGAACCAAAAAUUACACUCGAAUCCAUGAGUUCAGAAAUUAAAAUUCUCUAAGAGAAAGUUCUUUAUUGAAUUAAAAAAUGCCUUACAAUGAAAAGAGGCAGCCUUUAUAUAGGCUGCAAAUCCUAAUACGACUAGGAAUAUAAUUGUUUAAGAAAGAAAUAACUAGAAUAAAGAAAGAAAAUACUACAGCUAGAAAAGUAAAUAAAUCCUGAUAUUACAACAUUAAUUAGGACUCCUAAAUAAGGAGGCAAUCUGGUGGAAGGAUACUCCAAUAGUAACUGCAGUUCCUGAUUUCUCUGCAAUUAUAUUAUAUCCUUCAAUCUGCUCUUCCUCUCCUCCUGUAGAUUGUUCUACAUUAGUCUUUCCCUGCAUAAAAAGAACUCGUCCCCGAGUGAGUUAAGUGAGAAGACGCCAUAUCAGAAGGAUGAUACUCAUAUAAAUCUGCCACGUUGAAAGUAGGGGAAAUGGCCAUAUCUGCAGGAAGGUUGACAACAUAUGUGUUGUCAUUAAUUUUCUAAAGGAUUUGGAAAGGUCCAUAUUUCUUGUCUUUCAGCUUGUUGUAUGCUCCUACAGGUAGUCGUCCUUUGCGCAAAUAAACCAUCACAACGUCCCCUUCUUGAAAGGUUUGGACCCUUCGCUUUUUAUCUGCUGUAGUUUUGUACUUGGCGUUAGAAGCCUCUAAGUUUUGCCACACUUCUUCUUGAAUGGAAUUUAUAUGGUCUGCAAUAUUUUCUGCUGCAAUGCCUAAACCCGACAGUUUUGGAAGAGGAACUAAGUCUAACGCAUGGCGCGGAGGACAACAAUAAACAAUCUGAAAUGGUGUCUUCCUAGUGGACCGGUUGAGCAUAUUGUUAGAAGCAAACUCAGCUUGUGUCAAAUCAACAUCCCACUAUUUUGGUUAUAUCCUAGAAAGAUAGCAAAUUAGAUUCCCAAGAGUGCGGUUUACUAUCUUUGUUUGGCCAUCGAACUGAGGAUGGUCGGUGAUGCUAAAAUUCAGGGAUGUGUUAAACCGUCACCAUAACAUUCGCCAAAAAUGACUCAAGAAUUUGGUGUCUCUGUCGGACGUGAUGGACUUGGGAACCCCAUGUAGACGCACCACCUCCUUGAAAAAUAAAUUUUCUAUAUACACUGCAUCUGCAGUCUUCUUACAAGCAAUAAAAUGAGCCAUUUUAGAAUACUUGUCGACCACUACAAAAACUGAAUCAAAUCCGCGUUGGGUUCGCGGUAGGCCUAAGAUAAAAUCCAUGGAAAGAUCCUCCCAAAGUGCUGCUGGGAUAGGCAAGGGCAUAUACAAACCGGUAUUUUAGGACUGUCCUUUAGCAGCCUGAUAUAUGGGGCACCGUUUAACAUAGUUGCUAAUGUCUCUUUUUAACUGGGGCCAAUAAUACCUCUCAUCAGUAAGGGCUAUUGUUUUGUCAUGCUCCAAGUGUCCACCCAAGCCUCCACUAUGUAAGUCAUGAAUUAUGGGUAUGCAUAAUUGGUUACCAUGAAAUAAGUAGCCUUCCUGGAUAUGCAGGUUCUCCACAGGAAGCCCCGUUUGACACUUUCUCCAACUAUCUUGAAAAUCUUCAUCACCAGCGUAUAACUCUUUUAGGCAAUCAAACCUAAUGACUUUAGUUUGUAGAGUGACUAGCAGCAAUGUCCUCCGGCUGAGAGCAUCAGCUGCUCGGUUUAGUCAUCCAGCCUUAUAUUGUAGUGUGAAUGUGAAGCGUUGAAUAAAUGAAAUCCAGCGGGCAUGCAUUCUGUUGACACUAUUCUGGAUGUUGAUAAAUCUUAGUGCUUGAUGGUCGCUGAAUAAAAGGAAGUCUCGGGGUACUAGCUAGUGUUCCCAGACUUUCAAGGCGCAAAAGACGACAUACAACUCUAGCUCAUAGGUAGACCACUUCUAGCGAGCUUCACCGAGUUUUUCACUGUAGAACGUGACCGGUUUGCCUUCUUGAGACAACACAACACCAAUACCCAUGAUAGAGGCAUCGCACUUGAAAUAAUUUGACAAAAUCUGGUAGUGCCAGAACUGGGGCCGAUGAUAGUUUUUCUUUGAUCAAUUUAAAGCUCUGCUCUGCUGCUUCUCCUCAAUGGAAUUUCCCUUUCUUCAUGCAUUCAGUAAUAGGUGUGACUAUUCGACUAAAAUCUCUAACAAGUCGUCUGUAAGACGUUGCUAGUCCAUGAAAACUAUGGACCUCGCUUACUAUUCGGGGAGUCGGCCAAUCUCGAAUGGCGCAAAUCUUUUCUUCAUCUACCUUAAUUCCAUCGACACUUAUUACGAACCCCAAGAAUAGCAAGCUACUGGUCAUAAAGCUGCACUUUUUCAAAUUAACGUACAACUUAUUUUGCUGCAGAAUUUUAAGUACUUCCUUCAAGUACACAACAUGGUCAGAUUGGGUUUGGCUAUAGAUUAAUAUAUCAUCGAAGUAUACCACCAAAAAUUUUCCAGUGAUAGGUUUCAAUACCUGGUUUAUAAACCGCAUGAAAGUACUGGGUGCAAUGGUUAGUCCGAACAACAUUACUAACCACUCAUAUGAGCCCUCAUUUGUUUUAAAAGUAGUCUUCCACUCACCUCCUAGUCUGAUCGAAAUUUGAUGGUACCUGCUUCGUAAAUCAAGUUUUGAAAAGACUUUGGAUCUGGAUAACAUGUCCAACAUAUCUUCUAAUCGAGGGAUAUGGAACUUAUAUUUAACAAUGAUCUUGUUGAUUGACCGGCUAUCGAUGCACAUGCAUUAACUACCAUCUUUCUUUGGCACUAACAAGGCUGGUACUGCACAAGGGCUCAUGCUCUCAUGUACUAGUCCUUUCUUAAUCAUUUCUUUUACCUGUGCUUGCAGAACCUGACUUUCUUUGGGAUUCAUCCGGUAAUGGGGGCGAUUAGGCAAACUAGAUCCUAGCAUGAAAUCAAUCUGAUGUUGUAUGUCCCGUACAGGAGGUAACCCAUUAGGUAGGUCUGAUGGUAUAACUUUAUGAAAUUCCUCCAGUAAUGGCAACACUAUAGGUGGAAUGUCAAUAUGAUCCCUGCCAACUUCUCCUCUUAUUACUGCGGCAAAAAUCUCUUUGGCUUCCUUAGUCUCUUCCAUGAAUUUCCCCUGUCCACUAGCAAUACUGGUUUUCCUUGUGGCUUCGGUUUAAUGCUAGCAAACUCUUAUUUUAUAGGACCUAGAACGACCUUUAACCCCCUUCAUGAAGACAAAAACUUUGUCACGACCUCUAUAAGUGGCGUCUACAACAUACUACUAGGGGGCGUCCCAAAAUUACAUGGCAGGCAUCCAUUUCCACCAUGUCAUAUGUAACUUCAUCUGUAUAAUUCUUUCUAAUUGAGAAUUUAAUGUGGCAGACUUCAGUUACCUUUACUUUAGUGCCACGUUUGAUCCAGCCAAUGUUUAAAUGGUGCAUGAUGCUUCUCAAUUUGCAAUCCCAACUUAGUAACAAUUGGUUUUGAUACUAUAUUUUUGCUACUGCCAGUGUCAAUGAUAAUAUCACAGACCCUCUUGUUCACGGUGCACCUGGUUCUGAAUAUAUUAUGCUGCUAAGAGGGUUCUUCUCGUUUUGGUGCCAACAGUAGCCACUGAACUACAAGAGACCGCGACAAUAGUUCUCCCUCAUCGCCUCCUAUUACUUCUUAUUCUUCUUCUUCUUCUUCUUAUGUAUAGGCUGCUUCAUUAUAAUAUUUCGCUGUGUCGAAGAGGCACUCUUCUUCUGGCUCUAUUAAGUUCACGGUACUCCUUCUUAGACACUGGUUGGAACGGUGUCGUGGCUAUCCAUAUCUAUAACAUUAUUCGAUCCUGGACGAGCAUAAGGAUUUCUAGGCGUCACCUCGGAUGGAAUGGUAUUGGUAGGCUUUGUUGGUGCUCCAUUGCUGCUUGUUCCCUGUAUAGUGUUAGAGAAUGAGGGUUGGGUUGUUGAGGUCGUCAGGGUCAUCGGGGUCUUUCCUUUGUUGACUGUUGCUCUAUUAUUAUCAAAUGGAUUCCUGGUCCCAACCAUUUCCUUUGAUCUAUCUAAUUGGGUCUCUGCCUUAAUAGCCAUUGCAAGGGCUUCUGUUAGAGUGUAAACUGUUUGCAUCGCCACACAAUCCUGUAUAGCCCAAUGCAGACCUCCAACAAACCUGGCAACUUGUUGUGCCUCUGUUUCCAGUAGAUUAUUUCGUGAUGAUAGCAUGUGGAAUUCUUCCAGGAAAGCUUCAAUGGUUCUGGCUCCUUGUCUACAUUCCUAAUACUGUUUAAACAAAAUUUGCUUGUAAUCUGGUGGUAGAUAACGGGAACGUAAUAGUCGUUUUAUUUUAGUCCAUGUUUGAACCAUCCCCUUCCCUUUUCAUAGCUAGGUACUUUGUAGUUACUCCCACCAGGCAGAAGCUCCCCUCAAUAGUCUAUAUGCGACUAACUUCACCUUCUUAUCUUCAGGAAUGUUCAUAUAAUCAAAGAACCUCUCGACUAAUACCAACCAAUCAAGGAACCCUUCAAUCUGAAGUUGUCCAUUAAAAUUAGGCAGGUCCAUCUUCAUUCGAAACAUUUAUCAGUCUGGUUCCCUUUGGUAUCCUCUCCAGUUUCCCCAGAGUAUAGCUUCAGCUUCUUCUUCAUCCUCACUUAGGGUGUCCUCAUAGACUGGUUGCCUUCGUAGGAUUCUUGGAGGGCGUUCACAACUUUCAGCCCUUUCUCUGUGAUGUUGAUGACCUGGGGGAUUGUUGAUCCCUUGAUUAUUUCCUGCUGUCAACCUAGCAAGGGCUGCUUGGAUAUCACGUAAGGUUUGUUGUGUCUCAUGCUGGAAAAUUUUGAAUUCAACCCCUAUAACCAAAUUAUCCCCGCGGUCACCACCACCAAGGGUUUCGCUUUCGUUGUGUGGGUUUGCCAUCUAACAGGAUUAGGCCUGCUCUGAUACCAACUGACGUAGCGGAAGCUUCUGUGGAAAUAAGACACCGUCUAUUUCCGGGAAAAAUCAUUCGAAUCCUUAAACCAAAAUUACACUCAAAUCCACGAGUUCAGAAAUUAAAAUUCUCUAAGAGAAAGUACUUUAUUGAAUUCAAAAGUGCCUUACAAUUAAAAGAGGUAGCCUUUAUAUAGGAUGCAAAUCCUAAUUCGACUAGGAAUAUAAUUGUUUAGGAAAGAAAUAACUAGAAUAAAGAAAGAAAAUACUACAGCUGGAAAAGUAAAUAAAUCCUGAUAUUACGACAUUAAUUAGGACUCCUAAAUAAGGAGGCAAUCUGGUGGAAGGAUACUCCAAUGGUAACUGCAGUUCCUGAUUUCUCUGCAAUGAUAUUAUAUCCUGCAAUCUGCUCUUCCUCUCCUCCUGUAGACUGUUCUACAUCACCAACUAGGGUUCAGAUACGAUAUUCAGAAAGACUAACAAUACCCUAUUAGCAUGGGUAUUUUGACUGGCAUACCAUAGGUUUAUAAUCAUAAUCAAAUAGACAUAUUCAUAUCUCAGGGCUCAACUUAUGACAUCAAUCAAAUGAGGAGCUAUCAAUUCAGAAGUCAAUUCAAAAUAUAUAUUGGUUCAUAUUAAGAAUUUAGAUUCAACUAUUGAUCAUGCUUUAUCAUAACACGAAUAAUAAUCAACAUAUAUAUUAUCAAGAAACAUGAUCCAAUUUAUAUUAACAACUCAAAUAUUUAUAAUAUUACUCAUGCAUAUGGAAAAUUAUCCACUCACCUAACUCAAAAGUAAACAUAACUCAAAAGCAGAUACCGAAAGAAAUCCUACUAAUGUUCGGUCGAAAAUCAUGAUUAUCUGAAUACAAAUGAGAUAUAUUAAAAAAUGACUCAAAAGAACAUAUAACCUAUUUAAUACACUUAUCUAAGGGUAUAUUUCAUAACCCUAUAUGUUUUUAGACUAAACUAGUUAUGUUUCCUAAAAACUUAAAAAUUAACGGUUUUCCCGAAAUCUAAUCCAUAAUAAAAUAAAUAAUAAGACUUGGUAAUAAUUCACUAAAUAAACCUUAUUUAUUCAUCAAACCAAUAUGAAAAGCUAAUAUUACAGCUAGAGACCAAUCUAGAAUUUAUCAUAUUUUCUAGGCUCCAAUCCCAUUUCUUGGUCUGCACGCAAACAAAGAGCUGUAUCGUGUUCUUCUACAGAAGUGGAAUUUCGUGCAUUAGCUGAUGCCACCUCUAAAACAAUUUGGCUUCACUCCUUUAUCAAUGAACCUGGCUUACAUCCUAAAAAUCCUCCCUAGGUUUUUCGUGAUAACAUUGGUGCAACUCAUUUCAACCUAAAUCCAGUGCAACACACUCGUAUGAAACACAUCGAAAUUGACCUUCUCUUUGUUUGUGAUCUUAUCUAGAAAGGUUGUAUUACUGUCAGUUUUUGUUACCCAAUUUUUGACCCAUCUUUUUGAUAAAAUUUUCGGAAAAUCAAAAAAUAGCGAAAAACAACAAAAAUCCAAAAAACUAUUUUUUAAAUAUAUUUGCAUUGUUUUUAGCAUUUUCAACGUCGUCUAAAAAAGAAUUUAAAUUUUCAAAGGUUUUUGAACGCGUUCGACUUUUCACGCAUCAUUUUUAAAAUCAUUGAUUUUCCUUGUUGUAACCCAUUUUUGGGUCCCCAUGAAAAAUAAAAUAAAUAGCCAAAAGAGUUUAGAAAAAAUAACAGAAGGCAGAAGCGCUCAGGAAACAGUCAGAAAAUUGGUCAAGAAAUUCAAAAAUACAAGGAUUAAAUUUUUGACAGUAUAUUCUUGAAGGAUGAAAGCCCUAUUGAGAAGGAAAAUUUGAAUUUUUAGGAGAAAAGCCCAAAUUUGGAUGUUUAUGGACUUAAUUGGAUUUUUAUUUGAAUUUAUAGAAGAUUUGAUUGCAAGAAAAAUUGAUUUUUAAGUCAAUUGGGCUUUAAUUGGAAACAUUUAAGUUCUGGGGCCAAAAUAUAUUUUUUAGGAAUUUAUUGGGUCAAAUCAGGGGCUCAAUUGCAUAAAUAUUGAAGUUUAAGGGCCAAUUAGGGACUUAAUUGUGAAAAUCCGAAACCAGGGACCAAUUUGGAGAAGGCGCAAAGAUAGAGGGGGCUGUUUGGAUUUGUUUCAGGGGCUUAAUUGAAGAAAUUGAAAGUUUAUUGAUCAAUUAGGGGCUCAAUUGCAUAAAUCAGAGGCCAAGGACCAAAGUGAAAAAGGCGGCCAACAAGAGGGGCCGGGGACCGAAUUUGGGGGACUGAUUUGAAGUUCAGCCAUUUAAAUGAAACGGCGCGUUUUACCCAAAACGACGCCGUUUCAUAAAAAAAAAAAAAAAAAAAAACGGUGUCGUUUUGAACGACACUGUUCAUCUUCCUCCUCCCCCCCGUUUUAACAGAACAGAAGACAAAAAAUUCGAAAAUCUUCCCGCGCCUCUCUCUCUCCUCGCCCCCACCACCUUUAGCAUUGGCCGACCAGCCGUUGCACCGCACUAACGAUGGUCCCCCACGGUUCGCCCCUAUAAAUAGAGAAGAAAACCGAAGCUGCAGGAAGAAAAAAAAAAAAACCGAAGGGAGGAGAGAGAGAGGAGGCCGAAGAGAGAGAGAGAACCGAACACCGAAGAGAGAAGGAGCCGCAGCGCCGCCCGGGAAGCCACGCCACCGCAGCACCACCUCCUCCACGCCAGGUCACCUCUUCCCCCCCCUGUCGUUAGUUUUUAUUUUUUCCCUGCAUGCAGAAUGAACAUUCUGCAUGCAGGGAGGAGGGGGAAUUAAUUCCCCCCUUGUUUAUGUAGCUGGGCCAGGUGGAUCCUGGCCCAGCAUCAUUUGUUUUGGGCCAGACUGAGUCUGGCCCGGCCUUGUAUCUGACGGGCCAGACCAGGUCUGGCCCAUACCAGCUCUCUGGGCCAAGUCCGGCCCAGAUAUUUGGGCCGGCCCAGCCCGAAUUAUUUUUAUAUUAUAUGUGUGUAUAUAUGUAUAUAUAUAAAAUAUAAUAAUAAAAAAAAAUAUUUUGAAAAAUCUUAAAAAAAUAUUGUUGAUUUUUCUGCAUAUUUUUGUCAAAAAUGUUUUAAUUUUGGUUUGUAUUUUUAUACUGUAAAGAUACAAAACCAGUGUUAUAAAUACCCGGUUUUCGUCAAAACAUCAAAGAUUUUCAGAAUAAAAAAUGUUUUUGCUUUCAAAAAAAUUCUAAAAAGUCCCUAAAAAUGUUGUUGAUUUUUCUGCAUAUUUUUAUCAAAAUGGUUUAAUUUUGGUUUGUAUUUUUAUACCGUAAAGAUAUAAAACCAGUGUUAUAAAUACCCGGUUUUCGUCAAAAUAUCAAAGAUUUUCAGAAUAAAAAAUGUUUUUGCUUUCAAAAAAUUUCUAAAAAUUCCCUAAAAAUGUUAUUGAUUUUUCUGCAUAUUUUUUAAAAGGAUUAAUAUUGGGUUGUAUUUUUAUACCGUAAGGAUACAAGCUCAGUAUUAAAAUACCCGAUUUUCGUCAAAGCAUAAAAAAAAUAAUAUUUUUAAAAAUUGUUUUUGUUUUAAAAUACGGCCUAGUCUCUCCAAUAUAUAUACAUAAAUAUUAUAACAUCAUAUUUUCACACAACAAAGAAAAUUUUCAAAACAAUAUAUGUAUUAACAUGCAUUUUGGCUUUAAUAACCAGUUUAUUCAAGCCAUGAGAACUAGGCCAAUAUUUCAAAAAUUCUAAAAAAUCUUUUUGUUUUAUUUUAGUAUUUGGGAUUACGAAUUUAUACGUAAAACGUAUUCCUAAGUAUUAUUAAUAAAAUUUUGGUAUGGACGUUAGAACGGUUAGGAUUUUUACCCGAUAAGAUAAAAGACCUUCUUACUGAGGAGGAUUUUUCUUGAACCAUAGACAGACAACGACUAGGAAAACACAAUAACACUUUAGUUUUUUUUAUCAGACAAUAAAACAAUGCAGCUUACCUUAGGUAGGGCGUAUUUGGGGUGCUAAUACCUUCCCUUUACGCAACCAGUCUCCGUACCCGAUCUCUGAGACCAGUUAGGUUCCUAGUGACCAAAAUACUAGGUGGCGACUCCAAAGAACCAAAUAAAAAUAAAAAAAAAAAUUCGCCAGUCGAACCCGCAAUUGAAAAUUUGAAUUUUUUUGGGGUGCGACAGAAUGGCGACUCCACUGGGGACCUUGUAGACUAAGCUUUGUUUUUGUCUGAUUUAUUUGUGUUUGCCUGUGCUUAUUUUUUAUAUGCCUUUCCUUUUAUUUAAUCGCGUAUUUAUUUUUAUUUUUACGCGCAUUUAUUCAUGCAUUAUAUACAAUUGUCUCAUGCAUCACUUGCCUUAAUUUUGAAAAGCACACACAAGCCUUAAGUUAAGUGGGGAAUUAGCGAUUUACCCUAAGACUAUUGGUCAGGGUUUAAAUGCGUGAAACACCCAACUCAUAUCUGAGUGCCUGCUUGGUAAUGGUGGACAUACGUGUCUUAACUGUUCCUUGCAACGCCCCCAUACUGUCUUUACGAAGAACGUCACUGGGCAGAUAUGAGAACCUUCAAGACUAGAUAGAAAAACUACCCACUCUCACUUAAUAAAUAGAGCUUGUCCUUAGGUUAUGUAUCUUAUUUGCAUCAAGAUUAAUAAUGUUAUACUCAUCGCACAUCACUUGUGCAUCACAUUUUCAUCACGCAUUUUGUUAUCAUAUGCAUUACAGAUCGUGAAACAUAGGUCCUACAUCCAGAGUCCACCAAACCCGGUCCAGAUCAAGAAUGGAAAACGAAGAAAGAGCUCAAUUAGAGUCGCACUACCAGACCGAGUUGGAAUCUGUGAAAAAUGAAGUUUCUCGACUGACCAGUCUGCUUGAGCAACUUUUAAGAGCCAAGAAUGGGGAGGGAACAUCUACCCAACCACCUAUAGGAGCACCAUCAGUUCAUGUCCGGGGGAUCUCAGAACUUGGGGGCAGAUUCAGUGACGGGGCAGCACUUUGCACCUACCAUUCCCAUUCAGCCCCCUCAAGCUCACAUCACUGUGGAAGGGCCUCCCGAUAAUAGGUCCACCGGAUUUAUGAACGAUGACAAGAUAUCAGCCUUGGAAGAAAGGUUAAGAGCAGUCGAGGGAAAUGACUGGUUUGACCCCAUGCGAGCAUCUGAAAUAUGCUUGGUACCAAACAUCACGAUACCAAAAAAAUUUAGGAUACCGGAGUUUAUAAAGUACACUGGGUUGGAAUGCCCAAACACUCACCUUCGAUCUUAUUGCAAUAAGAUGGCUGAGGUGAUUCAUGACGAUAAGUUACUGAUCUACUUUUUCCAAGACAGUCUAUCGGGGUCGGCGCUAAGUUGGUACAUGAGGUUGGAUAAUGCCAAGAUCAAGAAAUGGAAGGAUUUAGUUGAGGCUUUCCUUAAGCAAUACAAGUUCAAUUUGGAAAUUGCUCCAGAUCGAACGAGCCUUAUGUCAAUGGAAAAGAGAAGCCAAGAAUCAGUAAGGGCUUAUGCGCAAAGGUGGAGGGACGAGGCCAUGCAUGUGCAACCCCCUUUGAUAGAAACGGAGAUGGUGACUUUGUUCGCCAAUACAUUCAAGGCACCCUACUAUGAGCAUUUAAUGGGUAGCUCAUCUCAACAUUUCUAUGAUGUUGUACGCAUAGCGGAAAGAAUAGAGCAAGGGAUUAAAGCUGGACGCAUAAUUGAGCCAUUGGAGACAAAGGGUUUUUUCGGAAGAAAAAUGAAAGGUCCCGUUAACAACUUCGAAGGUGGGUCCAAUGACAAGAUAACAGAUUCAUAUAACCCACAAAUACCUACCUCUCAUGUGGCCCACAUAAACUUUAACAAACCUUUUUCCCCUAAUCGAGCAAAUGGCCAGUCAAACACCCAAAACAACCACCAAAGACCAAACACAAGAUACAUUUCAGAACAACUACCGCCAUUACCCAUGCCUCUAAAGGAUAUAUAUGCCAAAUACUAAGCAUUGGACAAAUAGCUCCUAUCCCUACAUUACCACUACAGCCACCAUUCCCCAUCUGGUAUAAGCCCGAGUUGACUUGCGAGUACCAUGCUGGUAUUCCCGGGCAUUGUCUUGAAACGUGCUACGGUUUCAAGAACAAGUUGUUGAAGCUCAUCAAGAUAGGAUGGGUGUCAUUUGAAGAUGCACCCAAUAUCAGUUUAAAUCCAUUGCCUGGUCAUGACAAAAGUGAUAGGGGAUAAAGGUUGGAAAACCUUGGUCAAGAGUCGUCAAUAAUGAAGAAGGCGAGAUCGAAGGAGAAGACAAGGAAAUGCAAGUGGGGAAGGAAGAUGAAGCAUUGCCUCGGUUGACUUUCCACACACUAGAAGAAGUUUCAGAACGGGUUGACCCAAGAACUUCUCGUAGUUUUCAAAAUGUAAAACAACUUUAUUUGCCUUAGCAUGUUUUUGUCAUUUGCUUUUGUCUUUGCUUUUUAUUUUCUCUAGUGAGCAUUCAGAGCUCAUAUUGUCAGCCAGAUUUUUGUGUUUGUCUUUGAGCCUACCUUUUCUUUAAAUAAAUGAUGAGUUUAUGCAUUUUUUUAACAAGUUUGAGUGGUUACAAAUAAAGUAUCAAUAAAAUGGUUUAAUAUGAAAUUUAAGAAAAGCUAAAGUACAACCCUAUCUCUGAUAGCAUGGAUAAAUGUUUAAGUGGUCACUUUGUAAUUGUCUUUUAAAGAAUAGAGUUUAUCAACCAUAACAAUGGCAUUUUGAAAUAAAAAAAAAUCAUUAUCUAUUCACUCACUAAAAAAGUUUAUCACCGGCUGAAUGAAUUGCUUCUCUAUAUAAAAACCCAGACUAAUAUCGCACCCCUAUACUAGGGGGCAAGACGGAUGUUUUAUGAAAAGUUUUACGAUUUGAAAACCAAGCUAAAGCAUUUGACAAAAGCAUGACAAAGAGGCAAAUACAAGUCAUACAUUUUGAGAAAAGGACUACUUGAAGAAAGUCAAAGACCUUUUCUCCAAGAAUAUGAUAGGCAACACGAGAGAUGAAUCCAGCAUACGACUUCAAAAGCAAGUUCAUGUUAAGAGGGAGUCCCAUGAACUAGAAGAAGAGGAUGGGGCCUAUGUUUCAAAACCAGGUACGAAUGCAUGCAUUGCAUCUAAUCAUAAAUCAUUGCAUAUAUGUUUUUUUUGGAUCGUUACAGGAGGAGAUCUUAGCGCAUUCCAACAAGAUUAUGGACGAAGAAAAUCAUUGAGUUGAUUCUAGAACAACAAGAAGAGAAGAUAAUGGUUUUCAAACCCUGCCAGCAGGAAGAACGACAUCGAUAGCAUUCGGUAAAAAGGAAUCGCCAGAUGUGAUUCCAAGUUGUUGAGAUCGCCAGAAGGGAUCUCGUAUUUCGAUGGAGGUCGCCAGAAGGGACCUCAUAUUUCAGUUUUGAAUAAAAGGAAUCACAAGAUGGGAUUCCAAGUAGUUUGAGAUCGCCAGAAGGGGUCUCGUUUUAUAUUCACCAAUGAAGGUCGCCAGAAGGGACCUCAAAUUUCAGCUUUGGUAUAAAAGGAAUCGCCAGAUGGGAUUCCAAGUUGUUUGGCUAAAGGAGAUCGCCAGAAGGGAUCUCAUAUUUCGAUAAGGGUCGCCAGAAGGGACCUAAUAUUUCAGCUUUGAAUAAAAGGAAUCGCCAGAUGGGGUUCCAAGUUAUUUGAGAUCGCCAGAAGGGAUCUCGUACUUCGACAUUCAUCAAGGAAGGUCGCCAGAAGGGACCUUAUAUUGAAACCAUUUCUUAGAAAGCAUGGAGUUUACUAAGAAUUAUUCCCCUUGGGUUAGUCACCCAUACAAUGAGACCAUCAUUUUUCUUGGGUAGGUCACCCACAAUGAGACCAUUAUUUUUCUGGGUAGGUCACCCAUACAAUGAGACCAUCAUUUUUUCUGGGUAGGUCACCCAUACAAUGAGACCAUCAUUUUUCUGGGUAGGUCACCCAUACAAUGAGACCAUCAUUUUUCCUGGGUAGGUCACCCAUACAAUGAGACCAUCAUUUUUCUGGGUAGGUCACCCAUACAAUGAGACCAUCAUUUUUCUGGGUAGGUCACCCAUACAAUGAGACCAUCAUUUUUCCUGGGUAGGUCACCCAUACAAUGAGACCAUUAUUUUUCUGGGUAGGUCACCCAUACAAUGAGACCAUUCCUUUUUUCUUGGGUGGGUAGGUCACCCAUCACAAUGAGACCAUAUUUUUUUCGGGGCAGGUCACCCAUCAAAAUGAGACCACACACACAUUUUUUGUAUUGGGUAAAGGAAUCACCAGAGGGGAUUCCAGGUUAAAGGAGAUCACCAGAUGGGAUCUCGAUGGAUUUCCAUAUUGAUCAAACUAAAGUAGAAUUCAGAGGAUUGCUGGAUAAGGAUCUCGAGAUGGCUAAGUUUUGAUCAUGUUUUUGGGCUAAGGAGGAUUGUUAUAAAGGACAAAGUUUCAGAUAAAUCAGCUUCGACCAUAUCAGUUUCGGGAGUUCCGUUUUGGGUUUAUCUUUAUAACACUUACUGCGCAAAACCCAUGCUCCGUAAGUAUUAUAAAGAGGGGGCAUCUGUUGUAACCCAUUUUUGGGUCCCCAUGAAAAAUAAAAUAAAUAGCCAAAAGAGUUUAGAAAAAAUAACAGAAGGCAGAAGCGCUCAGGAAACAGUCAGAAAAUUGGUCAAGAAAUUCAAAAAUACAAGGAUUAAAUUUUUGACAGUAUAUUCUUGAAGGAUGAAAGCCCUAUUGAGAAGGAAAAUUUGAAUUUUGAGGAGAAAAGCCCAAAUUUGGAUGUUUAUGGACUUAAUUGGAUUUUUAUUUGAAUUUAUAGAAGAUUUGAUUGCAAGAAAAAUUGAUUUUUAAGUCAAUUUGGGCUUUAAUUUGGAGAAAUUUAAGUUCUGGGGCCAAAAUAUAUUUUUUAGGAAUUUAUUGGGUCAAAUCAGGGGCUCAAUUGCAUAAAUAUUGAAGUUUAAGGGCCAAUUAGGGACUUAAUUGUGAAAAUCCGAAACCAGGGACCAAUUUGGAGAAGGCGCAAAGAUAGAGGGGGCUGUUUGGAUUUGUUUCAGGGGCUUAAUUGAAGAAAUUGGAAGUUUAUUGAUCAAUUAGGGGCUCAAUUGCAUAAAUCAGAGGCCAAGGACCAAAGUGAAAAAGGCGGCCAACAAGAGGGGCGGGGACCGAAUUUGGGGGACUGAUUUGAAGUUCAGCCAUUUAAAUGAAACGGCGCGUUUUACCCAAAACGACGCCGUUUCAUAAAAAAAAAAAAAAAAAAACGGUGUCGUUUUGAACGACACUGUUCAUCUUCCUCCUCCCCCCGUUUUAACAGAACAGCAGACGAAAAAAAUUCGAAAAUCUUCCCGCGCCUCUCUCUCUCCUCGCCCCCACCACCUUUAGUAUUGGCCGACCAGCCGUUGCACCGCACUAACGAUGGUCCCCCACGGUUCGGCCCCUAUAAAUAGAGAAGAAAACCGAAGCUGCAGGGAGAGAAAAAAAAAAAACCGAAGGGAGGAGAGAGAGAGAGGAGGCCGAAGAGAGAGAGAGAACCGAACACCGACGAGAGAAGGAGCCGCAGCGCCGCCCGGGAAGCCACGCCACCGCAGCACCACCUCCUCCACGCCAGGUCACCUCUUCCCCCCCCCCUGUCGUUAGUUUUUGUAUUUGUUUUCCCUGCAUGCAGAAUGAACAUUCUGCAUGCAGGGAGGAGGGGGGAAUUAAUUCCCCCCUUGUUUAUACGUAGCUGGGCCAGGUGGAUCCUGGCCCAGCAUCAUUUGUUUAUACCAGCUCUCUGGGCCAAGUCCGGCCCAGAUAUUUGGGCCGGCCCAGCCCGAAUUAUUUUUAUAUUAUAUAUUAUAUAUUAUAUUAUAUGUGUGUAUAUAUGUAUAUAUAUAAAAUAUAAUAAUAAAAAAAAAUAUUUUGAAAAAUCUUAAAAAAAUAUUGUUGAUUUUUCUGCAUAUUUUUGUCAAAAUGUUUUAAUUUUGGUUUGUAUUUUUAUACUGUAAAGAUACAAAACCAGUGUUAUAAAUACCCGGUUUUCGUCAAAACAUCAAAGAUUUUUCAGAAUAAAAAAUGUUUUUGCUUUCAAAAAAAAUUUCUAAAAGUCCCUAAAAAUGUUGUUGAUUUUUCUGCAUAUUUUUAUCAAAAUGGUUUAAUUUUGGUUUGUAUUUUUAUACCGUAAAGAUAUAAAACCAGUAUUAAAUACCCGGUUUUCGUCAAAACAUCAAAGAUUUUCAGAAUAAAAAAUGUUUUUGCUUUCAAAAAAUUUCUAAAAAUUCCCUAAAAAUGUUAUUGAUUUUUCUGCAUAUUUUUAUCAAAAUGGAUUAAUAUUGGGUUGUAUUUUUAUACCGUAAGGAUACAAGCUCAGUAUUAAAAUACCCGAUUUUCGUCAAAGCAUAAAAAAAAAUAAUAUUUUCCAAAAAUUGUUUUUGUUUUAAAAUACGGCCUAGUCUCUUCAAAUAUAUAUAUAUAAAUAUUAUAACAUCAUAUUUUCACACAACAAAGAAAAUUUUCAAAACAAUAUAUGUAUUAACAUGCAUUUUGGCUUUAAUAACCAGUUUAUUCAAGCCAUGAGAACUAGGCCAAUAUUUCAAAAAUUCUAAAAAAUCUUUUUGUUUUAUUUUAGUAUUUGGGAUUACGAAUUUAUACGUAAAACGUAUUCCUAAGUAUUAUUAAUAAAAUUUUGGUAUGGACGUUAGAACGGUUAGGAUUUUUACCCGAUAAGAUAAAAGACCUUCUUACUGAGGAGGAUUUUUCUUGAACCAUAGACAGAUCAACGACUAGGAAAACACAACAACACUUUAGUUUUUUUUUAUCAGACAUUAAAACAAUGCAGCUUACCUUAGGUAGGGCGUAUUUGGGGUGCUAAUACCUUCCCUUUACGCAACCAGUCUCCGUACCCGAUCUCUAAGACCAGUUAGGUUCCUAGUGACCAAAAUACUAGGUGGCGACUCCAAAGAACCAAAUAAAAAUAAAUAAAUAAAAAAUUCGCCAGUCGAACCCGCAAUUGAUGAAUUUGAAAUUUUUUUGGGGUGCGACAUUCCUCAUUGAGUCGACGUUGAUAUUGCUCGUUUUCAAAAAAUAUAAAAAAAUUAAGAAAAAUCAAAAUUUUACAUAAAAAGACAGUUGAGGGACCAAUUUUGAGCCCCUGACAACAUUUUAUUUGUAAAUAUAGGUUCAAAACUCAAAAGAGAGGAGGAGGAAUUUUGAAUAUUUGAGGGGAGAAAAAUUGAAAAAAAGGGAGGGGAGCUGGUUUGAAAAAAAAGAAAAAUAAGAAGAAACCCUAAAUCUAUCUCUUCUCCAAGCAGCCGCCGUAGCCCCUAGCCCCUCUGAUUUUUUUUCUUCCUCUCCCCAACGGCUCACCACAAGAGACAGCCACCCCCCACCUACCCAGCAGCUCACGCCUCCCCCCUUAUUUUCUUCUCCUACAGCCGCCGAAAACAGCCCAUCCCAAUCUCACUUUCUUCUCCCUCACCCGGAGCCAUCAACAGCUGCUCACUCCCCCCUCACCCACGGGCAAGCUCUCUUCCUCAAGCCGAACACAGCGACAACCCCCGCUGUCUUCUUCCUAGUCUUCGCUGUCAACAGCAGCAUCGCCCACAGACUCGGAGAGAUCCAUCUUCUCCCUCCAGCAGCGACCACAGAUCUGCCCUCCAGCGACAACCCCCAUACGACAGCACCUAUAGAAACCAGCCGCUGCUCACCUUCCUCCAGCCACUCACAGAGAUGCCCUGACCUCAGAGCCGUCCGCCACCUGCAUAAGGGAAGACAGAAAACCAAAAAGAGAAGACAAGAGAGAGUAGAUCUGAAAAAAAAAGAAGGAAAAACAAUCGGAAGCUUUGCAUGUGUGUUUUUCCCUUUGCAGGUAACAGUGGUUCUCACAGCCAGCAGAGAAGGGAAGGGAAAAAGAAAGCAGGACAAAUCUGUCCAUUUCCGGGCAUUGUCAGCGGCGACGCGUGGAGCAACGUGCCGCUACUGUUCAGUCAGACCAGAAUGCAUCCCAGAGUUGUCUUCCUGAAUUUUUUGGAUUAUUUUGUAAUUUUCAAAUUGUUUAAUGUAAUAUUUGUGUAAUUUUGAGUUUUUUUUUUAAUUUCUACUUGGUGUAAAUGUUGACGUAAAAGAAAAAAAAGAAAAGAAAAGAGAAGAAAAAACAAAUAAUAAUAGAAAAAGAGUUGUGUGUGUGUUUGUAUUUUUUUAUGUAUGUUAUUGAAUCAAAAGAAAAAAAAAAUGAGUUUAAUAUUUUAAUUUAUAUGCACAAAUAUCUAAAGGACAAAUAAAAAUCAUGUUGUAUUUUCCAUGAAAAUGUAGAACAUGUAUCUACAUAUAUUCUGGGAACUAAUAACUGAUUUAUCAAAGCCUUAGAAUUGAUCUAAAAUUUUAUUUUUAAAAUCACAUCAAGUCCAUGAAGCUUGAAAGUGAAUGUGUGGUGUGUAUUUUGUUUAUGAAUGUUUUUUUUUUUUUUUUUUAUGAUAAAAUUGCAAGAAUAAAGAAGAAUUUAAUAUUUUGAUUUGCUCACGGAUAAAGAAUUAUGAACUUACAUGUAAGUUGUAUUUUCUAAAAUUCGAUGAAUGAAUCAAAUUUUAAAACUUCUUUAACACAUCAAGUCCACGAAGCAGCUUACCUCAGGUAGGGUGCGUUAGGGGUGCUAAUACCUUCCCUAACCACAACCAGUCCCUUACUCGUGAAUCUCUGACGAGACCAGUACACCCGGGUUUCCUAGUAGCCUUCAAUGAAAUACUAGGUGGCGACUCCAACGAACCAAAUCAAGCAAACGCAGAAACAAAAAAAUCGCCAAGCCUGAUGCCGCGCAGAUUUUCUGACGUGCGACAUAAUCCGUGCGGCAUCAGUCAUGUUCACACUUUAGAUCAGCUUGCAGACUUGCUUACGAAGCCUCUUCCACGCCACCGUUUUCAAGUCUUAAGAUCCAAGAUUGGAGUUAUUGAUGGUACCUUCAUCUUGCGGGGGCAUAUAAGGAAAGUCAUCACUCUCCCACAAAUCACUCAUCCAACAACAUCAGUUUCUCCACAAAAUCCUCAUCCACCGAAAUCAAAUCCUUACGUUUAAUUUGAAUGUUUGAAUCAUGGAUAGCUUGCAGUUAGUUACAGGAUAGCAAAACUUCAGGCUUAAUAAGCUCUUCAAUCUUGUAUUUAUACAUGCACAAUGUAAAUGAAAAAGUGUGAAGUUAUCUCAUUAAUCUGCUUCUUAUCUUCUCUAUAAAGGCUUCCUUUUAACAUAAUUCUGCUUGAUAUGCUCCAUGUAAUUACAAACUAAUUAGCUCAAUCUGGUCUUCUCAUUUCUGGCAAUUAGUCAUUUUGACGGCGACUUGCAACAAUGUACUGUCACCAACCGUAGUAUUGGACUUCGAUUCACCGAUAAUGCCCUGCAACUGAGCUUGAGCGUUGGAAUUGGACAUUGGCAUUUUAGGCAAGGAAUUGCCUUGUAGAAUAGAAGAAGAAGAAGAAGAAGGGGAAAAAACAAGCAACGAUCCUAGUCUCAUUAAUUCUAUUCUUCGUAAAGAGCUCACUCUUGAGAUAACAUAAGACCAACAAACGUUGUUUAUACUAAGAACACGUGAAGCUUUCAUGCUAACGUUUUCUUUUCCCCUCUUUAUAUACCUUUUUUUUUUAAAAGAAAAAAUCUAAGAUACGAUGGGAAACAACUUUACAGGCAUUAACACAAAAAAAAAUCAACAGGAAGCUCCUAAAUGCUGCGGAAACAUAUAGCAAUUUAUAAAGAAAAGGAAUAAAUGACCUGAAAAAUCUCUUAUUCUGAACCACAAAUCGCAGCUCAUAUAGCAGUAAAAAAAGAAGUAGGACUUGGAGGGAUUGGGAUUUCGACUGUCCCCCUCAACAUGAGGAGGACCUUUUUCAUUGAAGGGCUGAGGGAUGGCUCAUCAAGAGUGCACCAAAGUCCCACUUUAACCAUCCUAUCUAAACUGUUUCUUAUCGACGAUUCAUCACCCACAAGUUGUCCAUAUCACCGUCCAGAAAACAUUGGUAAACCCACUGUUCGAGAACAGCUUCAUCCUCUGGAAGACUCGAAUCCACAUUCUUUCGACAACACGUGAUCUCCAACAACAUAACUCCAAAGCUAAAACAUCUGCUUAACUGUCCCCGGCAUAUUCCGGUGCCAUUCUGGUGCUACAUAUCCCUUGUCCCUCUAAUUCCGGUGAAGGUUUUAGUUUGGUCUGACUUCAGCAAACUUUGCCAAUCCAAAGUCAGAAACUUUGGGGCACCUGCUUUCAUCUAUUAGUAAUUCUGAGGUUUUAUUCACAGUGGAUGAUCUGAGUGUCGCACUCUUCAUGUAGAUAAACAAUACCCCUUGCAAUGUUGCGAGCAAUUUCCAACCUUUCAGGGAAAGCAAGGUCGUUUUUCAGUGAGAAGAGUAUGUCAGCGAGGGACCAUUGCUCAUGUACUCGUAUACCAGGAGCCUGUGCAUGGCAAUAGCCCGAGCAGACGGGCUAGGUUUCUGUGACGUGUUUUCCCAAUGACUUUCAUCUCAUUCUGAAAUUCUCUUUCCCUUCAGCUAGAGCUUUCUCCAGUCUCUAGACAGCAACGAGUACUUGAUAUAUCCCUUUAAACUGUCCCAAAUGAUCCCCUGCCAAUUUCUUCCUUGAAACCACCAGUAAUAUUUUCUAGCUUUGCAUAAGUGAAAGCUCGAGGAGCAAAUACCUCAUUCAAUGCAGUACCAUCAUUAUUUGGCACCCUUUUAUGCCAAUACAUGAUAUCUGUAAACGAUGAUUCCGAAAAUCGACACCAUAGCAAGCCCAAAAGCAACAAAUGAACCAUUUAUGAUGCGAACCUCGUGAUCACGUGGUCACGCAACCCACACGCAAAGACACCAAUUCCCGGAAAACCAAGUAAAUCAGGUUUGAUAGGAGUGUGACACAAAGAUAACUUGUACCUAGGCACCAGCACUAUUGGAAACGAAAAACCCCCACCCAACGAAUAUAGAUUCGCGAAUGAGAAGUAUAAGGAUGAUGCCACGAAGCCAGUUGUUCUUCGAUAAGUCGUUUUCAGUUCUUUAGAGAACCAAGGAAGGGAGAUUAUCCCACCAACACACAAGUACUGCAAAGAAGUUUAUUGAUAUAAAAGCCUCUAUUUAUACUGACUCUAGACUUAAAGAAACCCUAAUGGACCCCCCUUAGGUGGACUUAUAUGAAGCCCACUUACAAUUGACCCAAAUAAGUAAUAAUAACCCAAAAACUAAGAAGAAAAUAAUAAAAAUAAUAAAAAUCCGAAAAUUACCAUCCUAAAUAUGCUAGAAUCAAAUUUGUAUUGAUGUCCUUGAUUAGCUUGGAUAAAUUUCCUCCUUUGUUGCUGAUUUAAUUACUUUUCUUCCUAUGUUAGGAAAAGCAUUAAAUAGUCCUCCCCUCUUUAGGAAUAAGAUAUGGCCAACUUCCUUACUUAAUUAGGAGAAUAAAUUGCUGGCUUUUUAUCCUUGUAGCAUUAGGAAAUAAAACAAGCCUAACAAGGCUGGUAUUGGGCCGGACAUAUCAACCCCUUGUUCCACAUGAAUUGGGCUCUUCUUGGACAUGAACUAGAUGAAUUAAAGGCUGUCCUUCAUGCUCCUUAAAUGUCCCAAGCCCUUCUAGGUCCAUCUUGCUCCAUAAGUUCUGAACAAGCCCAUUCAAUGCUUCUUUAAGCUUCUUUGCCCUAGCUCUUGUGAUUGGCCCAAUUGGCACCUCCAAUGGAUCGUUGGCAUGAUUACGCUUGGUGUUGGGCUGAUCCGCAUCAACGUAUUAUUAGGAUUGUCCUGCCAGUGCCAAGGUUCUUCUUCUCGGUUAUAGGCUCUUUUCUGUCCAUGGUGGACAUGGGUCUGCCCACCUUGACGACAGCCAAGUUCGUACUUCCUAAGUUUCUCCUCCCAAAUCUCAAAGGAAGCCUUUGCUUUCUGCAGUACUGCCCAUCAGUGAAUAAUGCUGCUUCACAGUUACAGUCUUCCAAACAGGCUUGCUUACAAUUGUCUUUCAUUGUUAAAGACAAAACGGAGUACGAAACAUCUUCCCAGAUAGUAUUAGACAGCUCUUCCAUGGUGUAUGUGCUACUUCCAUUCUUGUCGUUGCAACUUUCAGCAUUGAAAUCCCUCUGACAGCCAGAAGUCCAAUUUCCCUGGGUAACAAACUUAAAUCCAGGAAGACAAGUACAUUCAGCUUCCUUAUCCUUCAGAACACAAUAUCCAUUAAGACCACAUGAUCCUUUCGGGUCGCACUUGUUGCUUGUGGAUCAUGACCACAUAUCUGACCAGUUUCCAUUCCGUGUCAGAUUUCGUGAAUAUAAUCUGAAAAUCCCAUCAGCAUCAAGUUUCAUCAUAUUAAUUGUUUCUUUCGUGGGAUAUCCUCCAGCUGUAAUGUUUUUUAUGUUGAAACCUGUGGAAUUGAGCAGGUAGAGACGGCCAUCCGGAUCAAGAUUUAGGGUCACAUUAUCUCCCUUCCCAUCAGUAAAAGAUGAAAAAUAAGAAUAUGGAGCUGUAUCUGGAGUAUUAACAGGAUACUGCACAAGGUUGCCAUCAUUUUGCAUCUUGAGUCGGUAAAUACCAGUUGAGAGUUCAGUUUCUGAAACAGGAGAAACCAGCUCUGCCCCUGCUCUGAGCUGUUGAGUUGGCAAAAGGGUAUCUGUUGGGUGGUCAAAACUCUGCCAUAUAAUCUCGCGAUCAGAAUUAUAUAGCACAAAGUUGCCUGAAUCAGACAUAGAAGCUAAAGAAGCUGGCUGGGAAGCAGAAACUAUCGGAGUCUCAUCCCCUUGUGCUGAUCUCAAGACAACCCUGCCAUCACUGGUGAAGAGCAAGGUCGCAUUACUGGGGACUGGGGCAUCAUCCCUUCUAGCAGCCCACACAACAGUCUCUAGUGAAAUCCCGGAUAGAAAAACCCCUAUAGAAUAGCCGUCGCGUUGUCGGAAAAAUCCGAAAGCAUAAAGACCGGAAGGUGACAACCAUGAGGAGUUUGUGAUAGGUGUUAGAGAAGAUCCGAGGGUUAUAUUGGUCUGUCUUUGAGCUGAAGCUGUAAAAGAUAAGGCGAGAAGAAGAAAAAAGAUGAUAGAAGCCAUGGAUAGGGAUUUAGCUCUUGUGUGGUAUGUGAGUGUCAAAAUAAGGAUGUCUAUUGUUCCAGCACUCCAUUAUCUUUCUGUGGUUUCCAGCAGUCAAGCCAGGCACUCAAAACAUAAAAGUCUAGCCAUAGAAUCCACCGCGUUUCCCUACCAAUUGGUGGAAAUUGUUGCUCUUAGUUUUAUGCUUUCAAAGUCACCGAAAAAACUUGGCAGUUACUUGGUGCUGGUCCACUUUUUUCAUCUUGGUAUCCCCCAUUUGAAAAGUCAUUUGCUAAUUUCCCCGGGACUAUUCUUGGUUCUAAUUUUCUGCAGCAGAUUCUUUUUUAUUUGUCAAGUACCAUUCAAUACGCUUAGAAGACACAAUCUUUAGCUUCCUGCAGACAGCUUCAACUAGUUAAGAAAUAUCGAUUUGGUGCCAAUGCUAAUACCCUGGCAUUAUACUAGGGCAAGACAGAACAACUUGCUAGCUUAUAGUCAUGUCCCUCAAAAGCUAAAGCCUAGCUAGCAACCUCAGUUUCUAACGAGAGAGCAUCUCUACAUGUUGCGUAACUAACAAUCCCUUGAAUAUUAAAACUGAAAAGUGGAACUCAUUGGACCGUUGAUUUUAUGACCAGUUCCACCGUACGACUUAAUUCAGAGUACAAUUGAGGUGGUCACGGCAAGGACCGGGUCAAGGGACAACCUAGCAUUUGCUGACCUGCUCUUCUCAGCUAAAGCUUCUUUUUUUUUUUUUUGAAAGAUGCGCAUAUUAUUUAAACGUCAAAGUCUGACGGGAAUAGAACAGAAGCUAUACAAUAUCUUACUAUGACAAAAAGCCAUAUAUAGGAUAAAGCGCAGCAUAAGAUAAACAAAAGCAAAGAAAACCACAAAAAAUCCAUCCGAAUGAGCUGAAGCUAAACAUUCCUCUACAAAACAAAACAAAAAUUACUCAAAGACAUAAUGGGAGAAGAAACAAUAGCAAGGCCAUAGAAAAAUGGUGAAUUCAAAGCCAGGCAACAAAUUCACUUGAUCUUCGCACUCCUUGUUUAGCCAAGUCAUCUGCCAUGCAAUUGCUUUCACGAAAGAUAUGUGAGAAGGUGAUUGAACCAAAAUAUGCUUUUAAUCUAUUAAAAAAGGAGAACAAAUUAUGAUGCUUCCAGGGACGACUGAGAGGAUUAUUCAUCCACAGAAUAACAUUGACCGAGUCAGAUUCGAUGAUGAGGUGUUGAUGGUGUAAGAGGCAAUUAGAUGCUGAUAGUUCAAUGGCUUUGACAAUAGCCCUUAACUUAGCAAUAUUAGAGUCUAAAAUACCAACUGGAACAGAGAACAUACCGAGCAGAUGACCAUGAUGAUUUCGCAACACACCACCUAUUCUAGAGGGGCCUGGCUUACCAAGAGAAGAGCCGUCCACAUUCCAUUUGAGGCUAUUAAUCAUAGGAGGAGACCAUAUAUUAUUAAUCCUGAAAGAGUGAGCAUUGGACCACCGAAGCAAGCCAUCUGCCGAUCUGAUUAGAUCUGUAGGGGAGUAUGGAAAAUCUGAAUGGAUAGCUUUUAGCCAUAGACAUAAACGGGUGAUAAUAAGAAAGAAUAUUGAGUCAUAGUCUGGUGUCUUCUGUUGGAAAAUCAGAUCAUUUCGAAGGAGCCAAAGAGACCAUGCCAUUGAGAAGAACAACAUCAACCAUGCCUUCCUCUGAAAAUUACCAUGCACCAUGGAAGACCAUUGAGACCACAUAUCUGAGAAGCUCUUUGGGCAACACCAAACUAAACCCCACCAUUUAAUGAUUUUGGACCAAAUGAGCCAAUGUUUAUGGCAGUGCAACAGAAUAUGGUCCACCGAUUCUGCUUCAACAAGGCAGAUAGGGCAAAGGGCAAUUUGAUUCCGAGCUACCCAAGAUACCUCUUCGAACCAACAUACAUCGGGUGUUGAGUCUGUUAAUGAUAGUCAUCUAGCAAAAGAUCUCUACCUUAAGAGGGACAAUACCUUUCCAAAUUCCAGCAAAUGAGAAGGCAUUGUUUGUGGAAGGCUUUGGACUCAACAAUACGCAGAGAGAUUUCAUUGAAAAUCUUCCUGAAUUAUUGUCCUUCCAAAUUAGUCUAUCCUCUCCAUCUUUGUCCAUGAGUACUAACGAAAGGAUUGCAUAGAGUUGAUCAAGCAAACCGAUGUUGCGCCCCCGUAGUGGACGUAUCCAUGAAAAAAACCAAAUCCAUUCAUACCCUUCCCACAUUCCCAUCUUAGCAAUGGUGCAGCUUUGUCAUUGGAUAAUUGUAAAAGAGUAGGGAAGUGAUCUUCUAAACAAUGGUUAUUAAGCCAGCAAUCAAGCCGAAACAUAGUUUUCUUGCCAUUUCCAAUAAGAACCAAAGAUUGCUCAUUCACAAUAUCCUGCAACUUAUUAUUUCUCACAUAAUGAUUGACAAUCCAGGACCAUGUAGUUGCAGUUCCUGGAAUAGGAGCUUGCAGCAGGAGAUUAGAGCAAUUGGUGUUGUGGAUGGUUUUGAUCACAUCCUUCCACAUACUUGAUUCCUCCAACCCAAACCUCCAUAACCAUUUAAAGAGCAGAACUUUAUUUUUGUCCCUUAAAGAACCAAUCCCAAGACCACCCGCAUGUUUUGGAAGAGUAACAGUUGCCCAGCUAACAUUGCAUAUUUUGUGCCUAGCUUCUUCUCUCACCAUCUUCAUGCCAUGGUUGCUGAUUGGAGGGGCUUUAUAAUUUAUUUAUUACAAUUGUGCUAUGAAAAAGAAAAAAAAAUGCUAUGAUAUUAAAAAAAAAAAGAAUUUCCUCGUAGCUAUGAUAUUUGUGAUAUUAAUUAUGUUACACUUGUGAUCAUGUUGAUGAGAAUAAUAAUAAAUUCAUAUAGUUUUAGUAAUGUUUAUGUUAGCAAGCAAUGCUACUGAAGGUGAAGAAGCUGUGACGAAGAUGAUGGUGAUGUAAUGGUAAUGACGAUUAAAGUGAUUGAAAAAUAUUUUUCUUUUGAUAAUUUAUUAGUAUAUAUAUAUUUCAAAUGUUUAAGAUAUUUUUCAAAUAAAUGUACCUUAACUAUGAUAAAUGAUAUAUUCUCCGUUUGUUUGCAAUUUGAUUGUAAAGGCUUCCUUUUAACAUAAUUCUGCUUGAUAUGCUCCAUGUAAUUACAAACUAAUUAGCUCAUUCUGGUCUUCUCACUUCUGGCAAUUAGUCAGUUUGAUGGCGGCUUGCAACAAUGUACUGUCACCAACCGUUGUAUUGGACUUCGAUUCACCGAUAAUGCCCUGCAACUGAGCUUGAGCGAAGGAAUGGACAUUUGCAUUUAGGCAAGGAAUUGCCUUGUAGAAUAGAAGAAGAAGAAGAAGAAGGGGGAAAAACAAGCAGAGAUCAUAAUCUCAUUAAUUCUAUUCUUCGUAAAGAGCUCACUCUUGAGAUAACAUAAGACCACCAAACGUUGUUUAUACUAAGAACACGUGAAGCUUUCAUGCUAACGUUUUCUUUUCUCCUCUUUAUAUACCUUUUUUCUUUUUCUUUUUUUUAAUAUCUAAGAUACGGUGGGAAACAACUUUAUUAACAUUAGAAGAAAAAUCACCAGGAAGCUCCUAAAUGCUGCGUAAACAUAUAGCAAUUUUAUAAAGAAAAGGAAUACAUGACCUGAAAAAUAAAGUACAACACUCUGCACAUGAAUCUCUUAUUCCGAACCACAAAACGCAGCUCAUAUAGCGGUAAAAAAAAGUAGGACUUGGAGGGAUUGGGAUUUCGACUGUCCCCUCCAAAAUCAUCAGGAAGCUCCUAAAUGCUGCGUAAACAUAUAGCAAUUUUAUAAAGAAAAGGAAUACAUGACAUGAAAAUAAAAUACAAUACUUUGCAGGUGAAUCCCUUAUUAUGAACCACAAAACGCGGCUCAUACAGCGGUAAAAAAAGAAGUAGGACUUGGAGGGAUUGGGAUUUCGACGGUCCCAUCCAACAUGAGGAGGACCUUUUUCAUUGAAGGGCGGAGGGAUGGCUCAUCAAGAGUGCACCAAAGUCCCACUUUAACCAUCCUAUCUAACUGUUUCUUUCCAACGACUUCUUCACCCACAAGUUUGUCCAUAUCACCGUCCUGAAAACAUUGAUAAACCCACUGUUCGAGAACAGCUUCAUCCUCUGGAAGACUCCAAUCCACAUUCUUUCGACAACACGUGAUCUCCAACAACAUAACUCCAAAGCUAUAAACAUCUGCUUUAACUGUCACCGGCAUAUUCCGGUGCCAUUCUGGUGCUACAUAUCCCCUCGUCCCUCUCAUUCCGGUGAAGGUUUUUGUUUGGUCUGACUUCAGAAUUUUUGCCAAUCCAAAGUCAGAAACUUUGGGGCACCUGCUUUCAUCUAUUAGUAUAUUCUGAGGUUUUAUAUCACAGUGGAUGAUCUGAGUGUCGCACUCCUCAUGUAGAUAAACAAUACCCCUUGCAAUGUUGCGAGCAAUUUCCAACCUUUCAGGGAAGCAAGGUCGUUUUUCAAGUGAGAAGAGUAUGUCAGCAAGGGAGCCAUUGCUCAUGUACUCGUAUACCAGGAGCCUGUGAUGUUCAUCAUGGCAAUAGCCGAGCAGACGGGCUAGGUUUCUUUGAUUUUUUUUGGAGAGAUAAAGGAGGACAAGAGAAAGUAUUGAAUGUGAGUGUUAUCAGUCAUUUCUUAUAUAUUAUAUAUAUGAGGGUGUAUAAAGGAAAUCCCCUCAGAUUCAGCCAAUAUUCAAAUUUCCCAGAUUCAGCCAAUAUUCACUUGCCUCUUGCCCAUGAUCCUGCAACCAUCAUUCAAGCAUAAUAUCAAGCUUGUAACGGCAGACAAAUCUUCAACGUAAAUGCAGUAUAAAUGUCAAGACGUAAUCUUAGCUUACUUUCUAAAUUCAAACCUGCAAAGCUGUGUAUAUAUAUGUUAACAAUUGUAUUACUCAAGGUGUGGCGAAAUAUACAAUUCUGAAGUUUAUCAAAUAGCUCAACUCUCUGAAAUUUCUUAUCUUCAUCAUGGUAUCAGAGCAACAAAUCUCCAACGAGAAUUUGAUCCCUCACAAUCCUAUCUCAACCCCAUCCUCUCCAACUGAAACACCUCUGAUUGCCCUCAACAUCACAUCCCAGAUAAAUGAUAAACUUACCCCCUCUACAUUCCUUCAAUGGCGCGCUCAGUUUGAAGCCUUACUCAUCGGGUAUGAUCUCCUUGAUUAUGUCACUGGAGAAAAAAUCUGCCCUGUAUCCACCAGCACAGCAGUCUGCGCCAUCCAACGAACACACUGGAUAAGGCAAGAUAAGCUUAUCCUCAGUGCCAUUUUGGCAUCCACAUCCACUGUUAUUACUCCUCUCAUCUCCAUGGCCAAGACAUCAAAGGAUGCAUGGCAUAAAUUGCAUACUCUGUAUGCAAGCAAGUCCAGAACCAGAGCAAUGCAACUUAAGGAAGAACUCACAAUGAUAAAGAAGGGCAACCAGUCAAUUCAAACUUAUCUUCAUUCUGUAAAAUCGUUGGCAGACGAAAUCUCCCUCAUAGAUCACCCAAUCUCUGAAGAUGAUCUAACACUCUAUAUUCUAAAUGGCCUGGGAACUGACUUUCGUGAAAUUGCAGGCCCUAUUCGCGCCCGAGAACGACCACUCACUUUUGAGGAACUUCAUGAUCUCCUUGUAAGUCAUGAUGCAUAUCUUCGCCGUCUUGAUGCCUCCUCCCAUCUGAUUGCUUCUGCAAACUACACGCACCGACGGGCUUCGUAUAAUCAAGAAAAUCAGUCUUUUAAAUCUGCCCCAAACCCCACUUUUUUGACAGAUCAUAUGGGCUUCACUAUCGCCAGCCUGGCAAUCCGAGAGACACAACAAAAAUCAUGGACCACGUCGUUUUCCUCCAGCUCCAAAGUGCCAACUAUGUGACCGCAUGGGUCAUACUGCCAAACACUGCAGUCGGUUUCAGUAUACCACCCCAACAGCGAAUUGCACUUCCACCUCACCCGCACAGGAUACAAAAUGGCUUAUAGACUCAGCCGCGUCUCAUAAUAUUACUGGUGAUCUUGCUAAUCUAUCUAUUCAUUCCGAAUACGAUGGCACAGACGAAGUUAUCAUUGGUGAUGGUUCAGGUUUGCCUGUUUCUCACAUUGGCUCCUUACAUCUUCAUUCCCCCACACGUACCUUCCAUUUAAAUGACACCCUUUGUGUUCCUAAUCUACAAAAAAAAUCUCAUAUCUGCUCAUCAAUUUACUCGUCAAAAUCAUGUCUUUAUUGAGCUUCACCCCUCUUUCUUUUUUGUUAAGGACAAGAUCACGGGAGCGGCUCUAUUCCGAGGAGCGUGUGAGAAUGGUGUUUACAUCCUUCCGAAGUCAAUGGUGCAGCCUUCUCAUCCUAUUGUUGCUAAUGUGCAUGAAAGGGUCUCCAUGGACGGAUGGCACAAACGCCUUGGGCAUCCCUCUCCUAAAUUGGUCACUCACCUUAUCAAAUCAUUUUCCCUUCCAACAAUAAAUAAAAAAAAUAUUUCUCUUUGUUCCUCAUGUUCUAUUAAUAAAGCUCAUCGUCAACCAUUUCGUCAAAACAGUCUCUUGAGUCAUGCCCCUCUUGACUUACUUUAUACUGAUGUGUGGGGUCCCUCAAGUACAAUUGGCAUUACUGGGGCUCGUUACUAUCUCAUUUUUGUUGAUCAUUUCACAAAAUACAUUUGGUUUUAUCCUAUGGAGACUAAAUCCAGUGUCCGCAUCAUAUUUCCUCAAUUCAAAAAUCUUGUUGAAAAUCGGUUUCAGUUAAAAAUUAAAUCUGUCUAUUCUGAUAAUGGUGGUGAAUUUGUUGCCUUAAAACAAUAUUUUACAACAAAUGGAAUCAGUCAUUACACCACAGCUCCUCAUACACCGCAACAAAAUGGUGUUUCUGAGCGUCGUCAUCGUCACUUGGUUGAAACCGGUCUCACAUUACUACAUGAUGCAUCCCUUCCCCUUCAGUAUUGGCCCUAUGCUUUUUCCACUGCUGCAUAUCUUAUUAACCGUCAACCCACACCUCUCCUCCACCAUAAAUCUCCGUUUGAAACUUUGUUUACACAGCCUCCAAAUUAUAAAAAGCUAAAAAAAUUCGGUUGUCUUUGUUUUCCUCUUGUUCGGCCAUAUAACACAAACAAGUUACAACCAAAAUCAAUUCCAUGUAUUUUCGUAGGCUACUCCUUAACCCAAAAUGCAUACAGCUGCCUUGAUCCCAUAACCAACCGUCUCUACCAAUCACGCCAUGUCAUCUUUCAUGAAAAUGAAAAUGGUUUCUCCUCCAACCAUCCUUCCACACCCAGCCCGACAAGCGACUCCUCUGUUCAUGGUCCUCUUUCAUCUCCUCCUGCACCUCCACCAGUGACUUCGGCAAGGAUACCCACUCUCACUGCUUCCUCAGGUAAUGACUCCCCCACUGUAUCUUUUAAUUCACGUGCACUCAUACCUUUAUCUUCUUCUGCUUCUCCUAGUUUUCAGCUUGCCUCAUCUCCACUGCCAAAUCCCAGUCAUCCACCCUCAUCAGUUAUUUGUGCACCUUCUCCAAGCUCACCUCCCUCAUCACCCAAUCCUGCACCCACCCGGCCUCACUCCAUGGUCACCCGUUCCAUGAAUAACAUUUAUAAACCCAAACAACUUAACAUCACCACAAAACACCCCAUCCCAAAAACUGUAGAACCAACCUGUGUGGGACAGGCUCUUCGUGAGCCACACUGGAGAUCAGCAAUGUCUGAGGAACUCACAGCCCUCAUGAGGCAUGGCACAUGGGAGUUGGUACCGCCUCCUCCGGACUGCCAACCAGUUGGGUGCAAAUGGGUUUUUCGGAUCAAACGACAUCCUAAUGGCUCCAUUGCUCGGUUCAAAGCCCGUUUGGUUGCAAAGGGAUAUCAUCAGCGGCCUGGUCUAGACUACAAUGAAACGUUCAGUCCAGUUGUGAAACCUGCCACCAUCAGAACAGUUCUCACCGUGGCUGUCACACAGGGGUGGCCAUUACGGCAGCUAGAUGUAAACAAUGCCUUUUUGCAUGGGAACCUGCAGGAAACAGUCUACAUGUUACAGCCACCGGGGUUCCAUGAUACCUCCACUCCCCAUCAUGUCUGUCGGUUAAACAAGGCUAUUUAUGGCCUCAAACAGGCCCCUCGUGCCUGGUAUUCUGCUCUGCAACAAGCCAUUCUGAAACUGGGAUUCACCAGCUCCAAAGCCGAUCCUUCUCUAUUUAUCUUUCACAGUGCAGAUGUUUUGUGUUACUUGCUGGUCUACGUGGAUGAUCUCGUUCUCACUGGAAACACUCCAUCCUUCCUGACUCAUGUGAUUGAUCAACUUAGCAUCCAAUUCUCAUUGAAAGAUAUGGGUGCACUUCAUCAUUUUCUGGGGCUAGAUGUUAUACCCACCAAAAACGGGUUGUUCUUAUCUCAACAUCAAUACAUACGGAUCUUCUCUUCAAAACUAAUAUGCAGGGUGCUAAGGAUGUCUCUUCUCCUAUGUCCACUUCGGUCCAGCUCAAGCUUAUUGAUGGCACAGCUCCCUGUGACAGCACUGCAUUUCGAAGCAUCAUCGGUGGAUUACAAUAUUUGUCUCUUACUCGUCCUGAUGUUUCCUUCACUGUUAAUAAGCUGUCACAAUUCAUGCAUCAACCUACGGUCACUCACUGGUCAGCUGCCAAACGCCUGCUCCGCUAUUUGAAGAAAACCAUCUUCCUUGGCAUUCACAUAAAUCGUCAGUCUUCAUUUGAUAUCACCACUUUUGCUGAUGCUGAUUGGGCUGGGAAUUAUGAUGAUCGCACCUCCACCUCAGCUUACAUUACAUUCCUUGGGCUCAAUCCCAUCUCGUGGAGCUCAAAGAAACAACGUGCAGUCGCCAGGUCCUCCACAGAAGCUGAGUAUCGUUCCCUUGCCACUGCUACGUCUGAAACAGUUUGGCUGUUGUCCCUGUUCAAAGAACUGUGUCUCCCAAUUUCAUCUCCGCCAAGGCUGUUGUGUGACAACCUGGGAGCUACACACCUUAGCUUCAAUCCAGUUCAGCAUUCCCGGAUGAAACACAUUCAGAUAGACCUCCACUUUGUCCGUGAUAUGGUUCACAAGAAGAUCCUCAAUGUUCAGCAUGUCAAUACUCAUGACCAAUUGGCAGACUUUCUAACGAAGCCUCUGUCUUCCCAGCGUCUGCAUUCCUUACUGCUCAAGAUUGGCUUAGCUGAUGGCUCAUCCAUCUUGCGGGAGCGUAUAAAGGAAAUCCCCUCAGAUUCAGCCAAUAUUCAAAUUUCCCAGAUUCAGCCAAUAUUCACUUGCCUCUUGCCCAUGAUCCUGCAACCAUCAUUCAAGCAUAAUAUCAAGCUUGUAACGGCAGACAAAUCUUCAACGUAAAUGCAGUAUAAAUGUCAAGACGUAAUCUUAGCUUACUUUCUAAAUUCAAACCUGCAAAGCUGUGUAUAUAUAUGUUAACAAUUGUAUUACUCAAGGUGUGGCGAAAUAUACAAUUCUGAAGUUUAUCAAAUAGCUCAACUCUCUGAAAUUUCUUAUCUUCAUCAGGGUGAUCAUUUUAAAGAUUUUUUAGUAUAAUUUCUCAAAGUAUAAUGGGGAAAUGAAAACACGAUCAAAGCACAAGAAUAUUUUUUUUUUUUGUAAUUAUCCAUGAACUCAUGAAUAGUUGUAAAGUUUUUGAAGUGAGAUAAUGUUUGGUGAUUUAACUAGUUAGUUGGCCUGCAUUUUAUCGCGUGAUGAAGAAAUUUCUUGCUUUGCAAUGAAAAAUAAAAAGAAUUAUCUUGCAAUAUCGAUAAUAAACACAACAAAUUAAAACAAAAUAAAACUAAGUUUGUUUACAUGUUGGUCGUUAAUUUAAGAUUAAAAUUUAUGGUUAAUUAAAAUUUUUUUUUACUAUAUUUCAUAUGUCACAAAUAUUUGUGUUAUAAAUAUUGUUAUUUUUAUUAUAAUUAAAAAUACUAAUAUAAAAAUAUUGUUGUUUGUGCUAUAAAUAUGAUUAUUUUUAUUAUAAUUAAUUUGAUUAAUAAAAUAAUUAAUAAAUUUGAAAAACAAAUUAUUAUCAAUAUUGAAAAACAACCAUAGAUUUGAUUUGAAAUGUAAAAUUGAAAAUUGUUAUUGUUAUCAUUAAUAAAUUUGAAAAAAAAAUACUAUUAUUACUAUUGAAGAAAAUCCAUAAUUUUUCAAAAAAAUUAAAAAAUAUAAGAAUUUAGACGGACAAGUUAAAUAUUAUUAUUUAUAUUAUAAAUAUUAUCGUUGGGUUUGACAUUACAGUUAGACUCGACUCCUUCAAUUCUUGUGUUGCAACCAGACCAAAGCUUUUGAGUCAUAUAUUUUUUUUAUAUUUUUUAUGAAAAUAAAACGUUGGCCGCAACCUAACUAAUAAUUACUAAAUGAGGACUCCAAAUAAAUUAAUUCAUUUGAUUGCUAUGUGAGAUUUUUUAUAAAAUACUUCAAGGAAAACAAACAUAUUAAAAUCAUAAAAACAUUUUACUAUAAAAUAUUAUACAGAAUAAACGUAACUUACUCUAAAUUUCCUCAAACAAUCUUGCAUUGCAAGAUUAAAUGGGCAGUAACAACGCCAGGAAUGCUUUCUUGUGGAUUUAAACACAUUUUUCUAUUCCUCUUAAUUAUGGGAGGGGGGAGCUAUCUUCUGCUGUGUAGGAAGAUCUGAUGAAACAAAGGAACAAUUGUUUUCAUUUUACCAAAAACAUAUUUAGUGGAGUCGUACUAUUGAUUAAAAAUCAUCUACCAGAAGUGGAGUAUCCUCAAUACAAGUUGUUGCAACUCUGAAGAACAUAUUGCUAGUAUUUGUUGAGACUUGAGAAUAGCAUUACCCAUCUAGAAACCUGGCCAAAAUAUAGGUUUCAGUUUUCCAGCCAUAAUCCCGACAAAUGAGAUAAGGUGGGAAACAACUUUACAGGCAUUAACAUUAGAAUAAAAAUCAUCAGGAAGCUCCUAAAUGCUGCGUAAACAUAUAGCAAUUUUAUAAAGAAAAGGAAUACAUGACAUGAAAAUAAAAUACAAAUACUUUGCAGGUGAAUUCCUUAUUAUGAACCACAAAACGCAGCUCAUACAGCGGUAAAAAAAGAAGUAGGACUUGGAGGGAUUGGGAUUUCGACGGUCCCAUCCAACAUGAGGAGGACCAUUUUCAUUGAAGGGCGGAGGGAUGGCUCAUCAAGAGUGCACCAAAGUCCCACUUUAACCAUCCUAUCUAACUGUUUCUUUUCGACGACUUCUUCACCCACAAGUUUGUCCAUAUCACCGUCCUGAAAACAUUGAUAAACCCACUGUUCGAGAACAGCUUCAUCCUCUGGAAGACUCCAAUCCACAUUCUUUCGACAACACGUGAUCUCCAACAACAUAACUCCAAAGCUAUAAACAUCUGCUUUAACUGUCACCGGCAUAUUCCGGUGCCAUUCUGGUGCUACAUAUCCCCUUGUCCCUCUGAUUCCCGUGAAGGUUUUAGUUUGGUCUGACUUCAGAAACUUUGCCAAUCCAAAGUCAGAAACUUUGGGGCACCUGCUUUCAUCUAUUAGUAUAUUCUGAGGUUUUAUAUCACAGUGGAUGAUCUGAGUGUCGCACUCUUCAUGUAGAUAAACAAUACCCCUUGCAAUGUUGCGAGCAAUUUCCAACCUUUCAGGGAAGCAAGGUCGUUUUUCAAGUGAGAAGAGUAUGUCAGCAAGGGAGCCAUUGCUCAUGUACUCGUAUACCAGGAGCCUGUGAUGUUCAUCAUGGCAAUAGCCGAGCAGACGGACUAGGUUUCUGUGAUGUGUUUUCCCAAUGACUUUCAUCUCAUUCUGAAAUUCUCUUUCCCCUUCAGCUAGAGCUUUCUCCAGUCUCUUGACAGCAACAACCUUCCGAGUACUUGAUAUUAUCCCUUUAUAAACUGUCCCAAAUGAUCCCCUGCCAAUUUCUUCCUUGAAACCACCAGUAACAUCUUCUAGCUCUGCAUAAGUGAAAGCUCGAGGAGCAAAUUCCUCAUUCAAUGCACUACCAUCAUUUUUGGGAACCUUUUUAUAUGCCAAUACAUGAUAUCUGUAAAUGAUGAUUCCGAAAAUCGCCACCAUAGCAAGCCCAAAAGCAACAACUGAACAACUUAUUAUUACGAUUCUCCUGCCAGUGCCAAGGUUCUUCUUCUCUUUUCUGUCCAUGGAGGAUAUGGGUCUACCCACCUUGACGACAGCCAAGUUGGAACUUUCUAAGUUUCUCCUCCCAAAUCUCAAAGGAAGCCUUUGCUUUCUGCAGUACUGCCCAUCAGUGAAUAAUGCUGCUUCACAGUUACAGUCUUCCAAACAGGCUUGCUUACAAUUGUCUUUCAUUGUUAAAGACAAAACGGAGUAUGAAACAUCUUCCCAGAAUAUUAGACAGCUCUUCCAUGGUGUAUGUGCUACUUCCAUUCUUGUUUGCAACUUUCAGCAUGAAAUCCCUCUCACAGCCAGAAGUCCAAUUUCCCUGGGUAACAAACUUAAAUCCAGGAAGACAAAUACAUUCAGCUUCCUGAUCCUUCAACACAAUAUCCAUUAAGACCGCAUGAUCCUUUCGGGUGGCACUUUGCUUGUGGAUGACCACACAGCUGACCAGUUUCCAUUCCGUGUCAGAUUUUGUGAAUAUAAUCUGAAAAUCCCAUCAGCAUCAAGUUUCAUAUUAAUUGUUUCUUUCGUGGGAUAUCCUCCAGCUGUAAUGUUUUUAUGUUGAAACCUGUGGAAUUGAGCAGGUAGAGACGGCCAUCCGGAUCAAGAUUUAGGGUCACAUUAUCUCCCGCCCCAUUAGUAUCAGAUGCAAAAUAAGCAUAUGGAGCUGUAUCUGGAGUACUAACAGGAUACUGCACAAGGUGUCCAUCAUGUUGCAUCUUGAGUCGGUAAAUACCAGUUGAGAGGUCAGUUUCUGAAACAGGAGAAACCAGCUCUGCCCCUGCUCUGAGCUGUUGAGUUGGCAAAAGGGUAUCUGUUGGGUGGUCAAAACUCUGCCAUAUAAUCUCGUGAUCAGAAUUAUAUAGCACAAAGUUGCCUGAAUCAGACAUAGAAGCUAAAGAAGCUGGCUGGGAAGCAGAAACUAUCGGAGUCUCAUCCCCUUGUGCUGAUCUCAAGACAACCCUGCCAUCACUGGUGAAGAGCAAGGUCGCAUUACUGGGGACUGGGGCGUCAUCCCUUCUAGCAAAGAAAGAGAAGAUGCUUUACAAGAGGCACAGAAGCAAGUCCUUAAAGUCAACAGAAAGAAGGACAACAAAGCAAAGACCAUCAUCUAUCAAGGUCUUGAUGAAGAUACAUUCGAGAUAAUAGCUUCCGCUGAAACGUCACAUGAUAUAUGGGAGGCUCUCCAACAAAAAUACAAAGGUGCUGACAGAAUCAAGAAGAUUCGUCUUCAAUCUUUGAAAGGAGAAUUUGAAUUAUUACGAAUGAAGUCCUCAGAAUCUAUUUCUGAUUAUCAUACAAGGAUUAUGGUGAUAGUCAAUCAGAUGAGGAGAAAUGGAGAAGCCAUCAUAGAUACUCGAAUUAUUGAGAAAAUUUUGAGAUCCAUAGAUCCAAAAUUUGAUCAUGUUGUUGUCGCAAUUGAAGAGUCCAAGGAAGUGGACAAGUUGACAGUGGAUGAGCUUAUGAGUUCUUUGCAAGCUCAUGAGCAGAAGAUUGUAAUGCGAAAUGAAGAUAAGGCCAUUGAGCAUGCCUUACAAGCAAAGCUGUCUUUCAAGGACAGAUAUGAGCAAGGGGAGACUUCAACAAGUGGCUACACCACUCAAGGAGGAAGUCAACAAUCCAGAGGAGGAUUCCAGAGAUUCCAAGGAAGAGGUUCUUGGAAUACAAGCUUCAGAGGAAGAGGUGGUAGAAACACCACCAGAGGAGGCCAAGGCCAACAAGCAUUCACUCCCAGAGGAAGAGGAGGCGGUUACAAUAACCGUGACAAGAGGAAUAUCCAAUGUUAUAGUUGCAAUCAAUUUGGGCACUAUAGCACUGAAUGCCGAUGGAAAGCUCCGUUGGAGAUACGUGAGCAAGCCAACUAUGUAGAGAAGCAUGAUGGAGAAGCAUCUGCAUUUCUUGUCCAACAAGGACAUGGCGAGAAAAAGAGGAGAUAUGGUAUCUAGAUACUGGAGCCAGCAAUCACAUGUGCGGCUACCGAGAGUUAUUUGGUGAUCUAGAUGAGACCAAGCAAGGUCUAGUUACUUUUGGAGAUACCACAAAGGUUCCAUUCAAAGGUAAAGGCAACAUCCCAGUCAAGUUGAAGAAUGGCGAUUCCAGCUACAUCGCCGAUGUGUAUUAUGUCCCAGCCAUAAAGCAGAACCUGAUCAGCUUAGGUCAACUUUUGGAGAGAGGAUAUAUUUUUACUCGAAGAAUUGUCAUCUGCAAUUAGAGACAACAAUGGGAGAUUAAUGGCCUACGUGAAAAUGUCCAAGAAUAGGAUGUUUCCUUUGAACAUCCAGUAUGAUGCAACAAGGUGUUUGAGUGCCAUCACCAACAGUGAAGAAUGGCUUUGGCACCUGAGGCUUGGACAUCUGAAUUUCACAAGUUGAAGAUGCUAGCAAGCAAGAAGAUGGUCAAAGGUUUGCCUCACAUUGAUCAUCCAGAUGAAGUCUGUGAGAGUUGUGUCCUCAGCAAACAUCACAGAUCCAGUUUUGCCAAAGAAGUCAACUGGAGAGCAAAGAGGCCACUGGAGUUAGUACACACAGAUGUGUGUGGCCCAAUUACGCCUAUGUCGACUGGACAAAAUAGGUACUUCCUCACUUUUACUGAUGAUUUUAGUAGAAAGACGUGGAUAUACUUUCUGAAGAGGAAGUCAGAAGUAUUCAAUUGUUUUAAAGAUUUUAAAGCAAUUGUGGAGAAGCAAACUGGUUACACGAUCAGAACCGUAAGAUCUGAUCAAGGUGGAGAAUAUACAGCAAAUGACUUUGAAGCCUAUUGUACACAACAAGGCAUCAGACAUCAGACGACGCCAGCUUAUACACCACAGCUGAACGGUGUAGCAGAAAGGAAGAAUCGCACGAUUCUUGACAUGGCAGAAGUUGCUCAAAGCAAAGAAGCUGCCCAAGCAAUACUGGGCUGAAGCUGUAUCAUGUGCAGUGUAUCUGUUGAAUCGCUGCCCAACCAGAAGUUUGCAAGGAGUCACUCCAGAAGAAGCAUGGAGUGGUCACAAACCAAGUGUUACUCAUCUACGAGUCUUUGGUUGUGUGGCAUAUGCAAAGAUCCCAGAUGCAAGAAGGAGAAAGCUCGAUGAUAAGAGCGAGAAAUGCAUCUUUGUCGGAUAUGGUGAAAGAAGGAUGGGAUACAGACUGUAUAAUCCCAUCACGAAGAAGGUGAUUACGAGUAGAGAUGUUAUCUUUGAAGAAGAUAAAUCUUGGGCAUGGAAUGUGAUCAAGAAGCAGUCAAAUGGAUCAAUCUUGAUUUGAUCCUUGAAGGUGAAGAAGUACCAACAGUACUUGUAGAAGAACCGAUUGUGCCAGCAGCUGAACCACAAAGUCCAGUGUUUAUACCAGUAGCUGAACCACAAAGUCCGGUACACAGAUUCCCUGUAUUCAACAGGAGGAACACACCAGGAGCAUCAUCAUCAACACCACCAUCAGCAUCCUCGUCAGAAGGACCAAGAAAGAUGCGGAAUCUUGAAGAGUUGUACGAUACCACUCAGGUCAUGGAAGAUACAACUUUGUUUUGUUUCCAUGCAGAUAAGGACCCACCAGAAAAGAAGAAAGCAAAAGGUGUCAAAAGGGUCUACAAGACGAAAGCCAAAUUAGUGGAUAAAGGCUACAAGAGAGAAGGCAUUGAAAGAAGAAGUGUCCAUGCUUGGCAUGACAUCCCUCGAUUGAGUUUAAAGGGGAGAUUUGUUGAAUUAAACUCAACAUCUAGAUGGUCAAGGAAGGAAACCACCAGCUGCCACCGACCAGCCGUCAGCCACCAGCCGCCUUCACACCGCCGGUCAACAGCCGCCUUCACACCUGGAACAGUAGAUUUUUGUAUUCUGAAUUUAUGUAUAAAUAGGGUGCUCAGUUAUGUUAAAUUGUGUGGAGAGAAUUGAGAGAAACACUUGAAAGAGAAAGAGAGAGAGAGAGGGCGUGUAUUAAGCUUUUGUUUUGUGUUAAUUGUAAGCUUCGGUUUUGUGUAAUAAAACAGUGUGUUUUAUCCCCUCUGAGUGUCUCAAAGCCACCACCAGUGGUUUCUCCCACCAACAGCCCACACAACAGUCUUUAGUGAAAUCCCGGAUAGAAAAACCCCUAUAGAAUAGCCGUCGCGUUGUCGGAAAAAUCCGAAAGCAUAAAGACCAGAAGGUGACAACCAUAAGGAGUUUGUGAAAGGUGUUAGAGAAGAUCCGAGGGUUAUAUUGGUCUGUCUUUGAGCUGAAGCUGUAAAAGAUAAGGCGAGAAGAAGAAAAAAGAUGAUAGAAGCCAUGGAUAGGGAUUUAGCUCUUGUCUGGUAUGGGAGUGUCAAUAUAAGGAUGUCUAAUGUUCCAGCACUCCAGUCUCUUUCUUUGGGUUCCAGCAGUCAAGCCAGGCACUCAGAACAUGAAAGUCUAGCCAUAAAAUCCACGCUUGCUUGUAUGCUUUCAAAGUCAAUGCAGUUGCGACGCCCCAUUUGAACAGCCAUUUGCUAAUUUCCCCUGGACUGUUCUUGGUUCUAAUUUUCUGCAGCAGAUUCUUUUUUAUUUGUCAAGUACCAUCAAUAUGCUUUUGAUAACAUAUUGAUGGUAUGGUUUUUUCUAUGGUUUUUUCAAUGGACCGUUGAUUCUAUGGUUUUUUUCCACACGUAUUUUGCAGGAACAGAAAUUGGACGUAUGAGUAAAGUAAUGUAUCUCUUGUCCUUGGCUGUAGCCAGUCUUUCUUUGAGCGUGUUUGGAAUUAAGAUAGUAAUAAUGGUUUAAAAUGUUUUUUAUUUAAAAAUAUAUUAAAAUAAAAAUUUGUUAUUUUAAAAAAAAUUAUUUUUAAUUUUAAUAUAUUAAAAUAAUUUAAAAAUAUAAACAAAAUUUAAAAUUUAAAAUAACAGAAAUGUGUUCGAUUGACGGAUUGAGGGUGCCCCUGUAUGACUUUAUUCAGAGUAUAAUUAAGGUGGUCACAACAGGGACUGUUCUCAGCAAAAAUGUCUUCUCUGACUAGCUUCAAAGCCAUGGGUGCGCUUUGAGGGGCUUUAUAAUUUAUUUAUUAAAAAUGUAUUAUGAAAAAGUAAAUAUGUAAAUCUUCAUGGGAGAUCUCUAAUAGAUGAAUUCUACAUUUUUUUUUGCCCGUAAGUUUUUUCUAACUUUAAAAAAUAUAAAGUCCAUGCAGUUAUAACUUAAAUCAACCUGGAUUAAUUUAACUAAUAUACAAAGCUCAAGGUGCAAUUAUUUAAUAUUAAAAAUUAAAAUUAUAUAAAUAAAAAAUAUUAAAUAAAAAAAUUUAAGUCAACUCAUCACCCGCAAUACAAGACUAGAACUAAAAAAUAAUUAAAAAAAAACUUAAAAAAACUCAUGAGCACUGUAUAUUGAAAUUGAAAAUGCUGUUGAAAGUUAUAUUUAUUGAAAUUAAAGGUUUUUUCAUAUUUUCAUAAAGGUUUACAUCAUUGUUUUACUUUUUUUAAAAAAAUUAUUAUUUGACAUUGUUUUUUUUUUAAAAAGGCUUUGUAGUUUUUAAUUUUUAUUUCAAUUGUAGUGUCUCGAUCUUAUAAUUUAAAUUAUAAAUUUACUGGGUUAAUUCAAGUUGACUCGAUCCUUUUUCUAGAUUCACUUUUCUAUGAAAGGAAUUUUACUCUCUUUUUUAACAUUAUUUUUUUAAAAAAAUAAAAUUAGUUCAUCCCUGUGGCGCAGAGCAGGUGCACAUCUAGUCUCUCUGCUAAAUGUUUUGCAAUCUGAUUUGCUUCUCUAAAUACAUGACUGAAACUGACUAAUAUAUAAUUAAACAAACUCUAGAGAAUCCCAUACAUACCUAAUCGUUUGAACGCGAAAUUGAUGCAUUUGGAUGUAAAGUGAAAACCGUAAAUUAGGACUCCUAAAUUUCUAGUUUUUAGGGUUCAGAUUUCUAUCAGUCAUGAAGAGAGAGAUUUUGAUUUUUUUUUGAGAGAUAAAGGAGGACAAGAGAAAGUAUUGAAUGUGAGUGUUACCAGUCAUUUCUUAUAUAUUAUAUAUAUGAGGGUAAUUUUUUUUUUUGAUUAUUUUAAAGAUUUUUUAUUAUAAUUUCUCAAAGUAUUUUUUAUAAUGGGGAAAUGAAAACACGAUCAAAGCACAAGAAUGAUAAAUAUCCGUUCUCAUCUUGCGGGGGGAUAUUGGAACCUAGCGCAUACUCACACAAAACAUAAAGAAGCUAAGGAUGCAGACAAUUCUUCAUUGCUUGCGGAGCAAGUAACCCCUGCAGCCGACUCCCCUACACCAAAAGACUAACGAAGACUAGCCAAGUUAUCAUAACACAUUGUAAAUUGUGGAUAUAAUAAAGUUAGUUAUAUACUGUUAAAGUUAGUUAGAAUAUGUGUAUAUAUAUGUAUUCAUGUAUACUGCAAAAGAGACAAAUAAUAAGAGAAGAAAUACUGCAUAUUGAUUGCAGACUUUCCAAACGUAUCUUCCUUCUUCUUCUCUCAUAAGAAAUUUUAUUCUCUUCUUCUUUCUCUACUUCUACAGGAAAGAAUAAAUUCUGCUAUAACAAAAUUAUUAUGGUAUCAGAGCAAGAUUUCUUCUAAAUCUCUGAAAAUAUAUACUCUUCUUUAUUUUUUUUCAGAAAGAUUCAAGAUCUUUGUAGUUGGAUAUUUUUCUGUCAUCAACUUCUUGAUUCCUUCAAAACUUCAAAAUGUCUGAUCAUCUUGAAGAAAGUGCUUCUACAGCACAUAAAGAUUCAUCCAAUAUCACUACUCUGAAUCUUUCUGAUGAUUCUUCCAGCUGCUACUACCUCCAUCCUUCUGAUAAUCCUGGCGCACUUCUAGUUUCUGAAAUCUUCACUGGCGAAAAUUAUAUUGCAUGGAGCAGAUCCAUGACAAUUGCCUUAACAGUGAAAAACAAGAUUGCCUUCAUUGAUGGAUCUUUAGUUCAACCAAACACCACCAAUCAAUCACUUUGUGUGGCAUGGCUGAGAUCAAACAAUCUGGUUCUAUAAUGGCCGAUGAAUUCAAUUGCCAAAGAAAUUAGCAACAACCUUCUUUACUUCACAACAACAUUCGAUAUCUGGGAAGAAUUACGAAUGAGAUAUCUUAGAAGUGAUGGACCAAGGGUUUUUAGUUUAGAAAAAUCUUUGAGUUCUAUUUCCUAGAAUUCAAAAUCUAUCACUGAAUAUUUCAGUGAAUUCAAGGCACUAUGGGAUGAAUACAUCAGUUAUCGCCCAAUCCCAAGCUGCAAAUGUGGAAAUCUUGAUUCCUGCUCAUGCAACAUUUUUAAACAUCUAACAGAUCGACAACAAUCCGACUUUGUUAUGAAAUUUUUGGUUGGCCUUCAUGAUUCUUACUUAGCAGUUAGAAGCCAACUAUUGCUCCAAACUCCUUUGCUAUCUAUGGGCAGAGUCUUUUCCCUACUUCUUCAAAAAUAGAGUCAGAGAUCCCUAACAAAUGCAGCAGGCAUUCCAAUUGAUUGCCAAGCAAUGAUUGCUGAACACUACCACAAUCAAAAUUCCAAAUCAGGUUCAACAUAUACUACACGCUUUGCUAAACAAAAAGGAAAAACUGAGGCAACCUGCUCCCACUGUGGAUAUCCUGGACAUACUAUUGAUAAAUGUUUCUAACUUAUUGGAUACCCUCUUGGGUGGAAAGGAUCAAGAGGAAAAAGAUUUGCUACUAUGCCACAGACCAGCAAAAACUUUCAACGAUUACCCACUGCACAUCAUACUACUAUCUUGCAACCACAUCUUGACACCCCUAACAUUGUUUUCUCUCAAGAACAGAUGCAAAAUCUACUCACUCUAGCAAAUAGCAUUUCCAGCUCAAAGAUAAAUAACACUACUAAAGAAGUAUCUACAUCAGGUAUAUCUUUUUCAUGUCAUACAUCAUCUUCACCUCAAAAUAGAUUUUCAUGGAUUCUUGAUACUGGAGCCACAUAUCACAUGAUUUGUAGUCCUCUUCUUUUUUAAUCCAUCAUUCUCCCUAAAACUCAGUCUAAAACUCAGUCUAAAGUUCAUCUGCCAAAUGGUCAACAUGUACCAAUUCUCUUCACUGGAACGGUUAAAUUUUCUCCUGACAUCAUUUUAUACAAUGCACUUUAUGUUCCAGCUUUUAAUAUCAAUCUAAUUUCUGUUUCUAAAUUAACUGCCGCUAACACUGUUGGCUUAUUUUUUCUUCACACAAAAUGUAUUCUGCAGGAUCUAAGCAAAUGGAAGAUGAUUGGUCUUGCUGAAGCUGAAUCUGGUCUCUACAAUCUUCACAAACCCCCUGAUCAAAAUACUAAAGAAUCACCUCCUAGAUCAAACAUCAAAUCCUGUGUUGUUGCGACAAAUCUCUAGCAUUUACGUUUAGGCCACAUCCCUCCCUCCAAAAUCACCCUUUUGAACAAAACUGAUCCUUCAGUCACUAUCAGCAACAAUACCAUUUGUGAUAUUUGCCCCCUAGCUAAACAAAAACGGUUGCCCUUUUCUUUAUCUAUUCAUAAAUCUACAACAGCUUUUCAAUUAGUUCACAUUGACAUUUGGGGACCAUUCUCUGUUACCUUUUAUUCUGGUUAUCAAUUUUUUCUUACUAUUGUAGAUGAUUACAGUAGAUUUACUUGGUUAUUUUUAAUGAAAUCUAAAUCUGAAACAAGACAUCUUCUCAGCAAUUUUCUAGCCUAUGUUCAUACUCAAUUUAACACCAACAUUCAAACUCUCAGAUCCGACAAUGGCCAAGAAUUUAAUAUGCCUACUUUCUACCAAACGCAUGGCAUCAUACAUCAAUUAACAUGUGUUGAAACACCUUAACAGAAUGGAAGGGUUGAAAGAAAACAUCAACACCUGCUCAAUUUAGCUCGAUCUCUUCUGUUUCAAUCCCAACUACCUUUAUCUUAUUGGACAAAUUGCAUACUCACAGCCACACACCUCAUUAAUCGUACCCCCUCCCUCAUUCUCCAAAAUCAGACACCUUACCAAGUUCUUUAUCACAAACCACCAUAUUACAAUUACUUAAGAGUAUUCGGCUGUUUAUGUUUUGCUAGCACAAUCACACAUAAUAGAGGUAAAUUUCAUCCCAGAGCCACGAAAUGUAUUUUUCUUGGAUACCCUCCACACAUUAAAGGAUACAAAGUUCUUGACUUAACCAUUUGCAAAACCUUUGUAUCUCGAAAUGUUGUUUUUCAUGAAUCCACCUUUCCAUCUAUUCCAAACAAAGUUCAUACACCCCUUGUGUUCCCUGACUAUCCUCAAAAUUUUGACCCUUUUCCUUGUCUCCCAUCAAACACAACUCUACAUGAUUCUGUUGUUCCUGCAAAACUUCCUAUACAACCUCCUGUUCCUCACAUUUCUCCCCUACCUCCUCCUCCUCUUCCCCAACUUAGAAAAUCUGAAAGAAAUAAACAUCCACCUACUUACUUAACACAGUAUUAUUGUGGACAUAUGGCUCAGAUUGCUUCAGCAACUCCAGACUCUCCACCUUGCUCCCUGCCUGGUAAGCCCUACUCUAUCUUUUCUUUCUUGUCUACCUCCCAAUUAUCUUUACCCCACUGUGCUUUCACUUCUUCUGUUUCAUCUGUUUAUGAACCGAAAACUUACAAACAAGCUAGCUCUAUCCCUCAUUGGCAACAUGCUAUGACCAAUGAAAUCAAAGCUCUUGAGAAAAACAAAACUUGGGACUUAGUCAUUCUGCCACCAAAUAAAACUGUCAUUGGAUGUAAAUGGGUCUACAAAGUUAAAUUUCAGGCUGAUGGACAGGUUGAAAGAUAUAAAGCACGAUUGGUAGCAAAAGAAUACACACAACAAGAGGGAAUUGAUUUUUUUGACACUUUCUCUCCUGUUGCAAAAAUCACAACAGUACGAGUUCUUCUCACCAUUGUUGCAGCCAACAAUUGGCAUUUACAUCAACUUGAUGUAGACAAUGCCUUCCUACAUGGUGACUUAUAUGAGGAAGUAUAUAUGCAAUUACCACCUGGCUACUCCAAUCACAAUGACCCUCGAAUCUGCAAGCUCAAAAAGAGCAUCUAUGGUCUUAAACAGGCUUCUAGACAAUGGUUUUCCAAACUCUCUGCAUCUCUACUUCACUUUGGUUUUCUACAAGCCAAAUCAGAUUCUAGCCAUUUCAUCAAGCAAUCUCACACAGCCCUCAUUGACAUUUUAAUCUAUGUUGAUGAUGUUCUCAUCGCCUCCAAUGAUCUUACAGCACUGACUAUAGUAAAAAACUACCUUCGCACAAUUUUCCCUAUCAAAGAUUUGGGAAACCUUAAAUACUUUCUCGGUAUUGAGGCAGCUCGAUCUACCAAAGGCAUUGUUCUUUUCCAAAGAAAAUAUGCCUUGGACAUACUUACAGACAGUGGUUUUUCUGGCGCUAAACUUGUCAAUUUUCCAAUGGAAUCCACACUCAAACUCAGCACACAUGAUACUAGCCCUCCCUUGACUAAUCCUGCAUCUUAUCGUAGACUUAUUAGCAAGCUUCUCUAUCUUACACUCACAAGACCAGACUUAUCCUAUGCCAUCCAAACUCUCAGCCAAUUCAUGUCAAACCCUCACACCCUAUAUAUGCAAGCAGCAGAGAGAGUUCUUCGGUAUCUCAAAGCCACACCAGGAAAAGGCUUACUUCUCAAAGCUGCUUCUCCUCUUCAUUUAAAAGCUUAUUCUAACAGUGAUUGGGGAGGUUGCAUUGACACUCGUCGACGUGUUACUGGCUACCUAGUCUUUCUUGGAGAUUCAUUAAUAUCCUGGAAAUCAAAGAAACAACCUACUGUAAGUAGGUCCUCUGCAGAAGCUGAAUAUCGGGCAUUGGCAACUACUUCAUGUGAACUACAAUGGCUUACUUAUUUACUAGCCGAUUUCCACAUCCCUCACUCUCAACCUGCCUUACUCUACACUAACAGCAAACCAGCCUCCGAAAUAGCUUACAACCCUGUUCAUCAUGAACGCACCAAACAUAUCCAACUUGACUGUCAUCUUGUACGUGAAAAAAUGCAAGAAGGACUCCUUACCAUCAUUCACAUUCCUUCCAAAUUUCAAUUAGUUGAUGCCCUCACUAAACCACUUGGUUAUCACAUGCUUAAUCCUCUCCUUGACAAGAUGGGAAUGAUAAAUAUCCAUUCUCAUCUUGCGGGGGGAUAUUGGAACCUAGCGCAUACUCACACAAAACAUAAAGAAGCUAAGGAUGCAAACAAUUCUUCACUGCUUGCGGAGCAAGCAACCCCUGCAGCCUACUCCCCUACACCAGAAGACUAACGAAGACUAGCCAAGUUAUCAUAACACAUUGUAAAUUGUGGAUAUAAUAAAGUUAGUUAUAUACUGUUAAACUUAGUUAAACGUUUGUUAACGUUUUAUUAACAGAAGCUAGUUAGAAUAUGUGUGUAUAUAUGUAUUCAUGUAUACUGCAAAAGAGACAAAUAAUAAGAGAAGAAAUACUGCAUAUUGAUUGCAGACUUUCCAAACGUAUCUUCCUUCUUCUUCUCUCAUAAGAAAUUUUAUUCUCUUCUUCUUUCUCUGCUUCUAUAGGAAAGAAUAAAUUCUGCUAUAACAAAAUUAUCAUAAUUAGAGAAAAACAAUUUACUAUAUUUCAUAUGUCACAAAUAUUUUUCAUAAAAUAAAUACAACUUAACUUUGAUAAAUGAUACCUCUAGAAAUGUGGAAUCCAUUUAUAAUUGAAUUAAAAUUAUAUUGAAAUGCUUCUUAUCAGAACAGAAAAAAAAAACAUAUUGAAAUGGGCCUACCAAAUACAGCAUUAAAUAUUUUAAUUACCAUAAAAUUGACAACUAGCAAUGAAAUUAACAACAAAAAAUAUUUUCAUUGGUAAUAUCCGAUGAAAAUAGCAAUGAAACAUAUCCAUUAAAUAUUAAAAAAUUAAAUAGCAAUGGAAUAUGUGCAAUCAAUAAUUAUCAAUGAAAUUGGCAAUGAAAUAAAAAUAAUUAGAAAAAAUAAAUAAAUAUUAUGUCAGCAAUUCCAUCGAUAAUAUGACACAUCAUUAUUUACAAAAUGUUUCAUUGGUAUUCACCGAUGAAAAUAUUUCAUCAGUAGUUUUCAUUGGAAGUUUUGUCGAUAAAUUUACAAGUGUUACAACCAACAACAACCCGCCCUAUCCAUUUCUUCUUCUUAUUUAAUAUCAGAAAAUAGGUACCCUCCUUGUUAUGUCACAAAUCUAGGCCUUGUAUUUAUAAAUUUGACCACCCCAACAUUCAAUAGUGUCAGUAUUAUUAUCUCGGUUCAAUUUUUUCUAAAUACUCACUACACCAAGUAAGCAAACCUACAUAUUUAUGUUUUAGGUUAAUUUAUUGAUAUUUUUGUAAUAUUUUGUAAUUUAAUUGUAUAUUUAAGUGUUUUACAUCUGUUUUUCCUUAAGAAUUUUGUUGUAUUAAAGAAUGAUUUGUAUGUUAGGAUUUGUUUGGGAUUUGAAGAAAAUUGAAUUUGUUUUUCAUUUGAUGAAUUUAAGUUUGAUUUUGUAAUUUAUGUUUGUUAUAUCAGAAGAAAUGAUAAGUUAUUUAAUAGAUAUAAUUAUAUUUUGUCGAUUUUAUUAAGUUUGGAAAUUUUACUAGGUGUGUUAUGCAACCCAAGAUUAAAGACGCGUUGUAGUGUUUUGAUCAUAAACAUUUCAUAAUCCAACAUAAAACAACCAUCACUUGUCAUUUAGGAGUUAGAUUCAAGAACAAAUUAUUGUUGCAAAGGCUAAACUUGAGGUAGAGUAUGAAGAAUGAAGUAGAAAGCAAUGAAAGUAAAUGAUAAUAUACAUGUAGACUUAUUAUUCUCCCACUGGAAAUAUUCAUCCCCCUCCACCUCUACCUUCAUAUGCAGCUCCAACUUUAGUUAGUUAGGAGUUUAUCUAAUAUAUUAAGAUAUUUAUAAUUGAUUUUAUAAUUAAAUUAAUGAAAUAAAAUGUGUUCUUUAAUUUAAUAUAAUUAAAUAUUAAUUUGUUUAAUCUAAAUAAACAUUUAUUAAAAAAAAUAAACAACAAACAUAGAAAUUAAGUUGAUGAUUUUGUCAAUUACAUCAGUCUAUUUGUAUCUAAAAAUUACAUAAAAAUUGUUUAAUUUUUUGGCAUCAUUGAUACAAUCACUGCCAUAAUUUUUAUGUUCACGAUCCGUCAUCGAUACAUGAUCAAUUACCGACUGGUAUUCUGUCGUUUAUCGUUUAUGCCUUGGAACUGUACCUGUGUGUAGGUAUGGACAAUUGCUUUUUAGGCAAGAAACUGCGUUGUGGGAUAGGAGAAGAAGGGGCAGAAACAAGCAAAGAUCAUUCUCUCAUCCUAUUCUUCAUGAAGAGCUCUCACUCUUGAGAUUACAUCAGACCAACAAAAGUUGUUUUUACUCAUCCUAAUAAGAUCAUCACAGAGAAGAUUGGCAAGGAACUUCUAAGUACUGGUGUUGUUUUGAUUUCCUUUUCUUUGGUGGUCUUUGCAUCAUCUGACUUGAUGGUCAUGAUGACACGCCAAGCUUCUCCACCAGAUGUCACUGAAGGUAUUAAGAUCUGCACCUUUUAGCUACGAUCAACUCGCGGUGGCCACGAUGAUUCAAGGAAGAGAUCGGUAAAGGGGCAUCAGGAGGCUCUGUAGAGGCUCGUUAGCAAAGAAUGACGGGAAAGAAAUAGCAGUGGAGAGUCUAGAGAAGGUGGUGGAAGAUGGAGAAGGGGAGUUCCGAAACGGGGUGAAGAUAAUGGAGAGGACUACAAUAACUUGGUACGUUUGAUUGGCUUUUGCAGUGAAGGAUCAAAUAGGCUUCUUGUGCAUGAGUUCAAGAUCAUUCAUUGUAACAUAUUUUCUUCUCUAGAGUUUAUAAUAAAUAAAUUAUUUGUAAGAAAACGAAGUUCAGUUGCAUUGUUGAUGGUGUUCCAAAAUUUACUAUGUUUAGAAAUGAGAAUUUUAAGUGUUUAAAUGAAUGAUGAUUAUACAUUCACUUCUAUAUUUUCUUGUUCACAAUUCAUAAAAUUGAUUGUUGGUGAUAAAAGACUUGACACUUAUAAAAUAGUUUUUUUUUUGUGGGGCUUAGGGGGCAUCUGAAUGAUAAAGUUAAUGACUUUUUAUAUGAGAUUAUAAUAAAUUAAGAAAAUAAGCUUUAAAUAAAAAAAUAAAUAAAAAUGUUUGUUCUUAUUUAUGUAUGAUAAAACACCUUGAAAAUAAGAAUAUAAACACUUUAAAGAAUAGAAAAAGUGUGAACCUUUUACUUGAAUGGUUCAGAGAAAUUUAUAAUGCCUGAACUUUGUUGUUUUUUUUAAGGGGUGGAUAGUCACUUCCUUUUGAAAAUGUAAAUGAGAAAAAACAUCUUACACAACAUUAAUUUUAAUGGAAAUAACCCUUACAUUAAUAUUGAUUGGAAUACGUAGGACUUGUAAGAGAUUUUUAUAUAUUAUUUUGUAUGUAACAUUAAUGUUGAUGGGAAUUGUCUUUAAUCAACAUUAAUUUUGAUUAGAAUAUGACAGGUUUUUGAAAGAUUUUUAUACACCUAAGAAUAUGACUAUCAUAGACUCUUAAUAUUUUAUGUUAAGAAUUAUAAAAUAGCUUUAUGACUCAAUAUAGGGCUUAUAAAAACUUUUAACCCCAUAUGUAUUUGCACCUAGAUUGAUUUUAAACUCAAGGGUUUUGAGUCAAAUAUUUUGUCAGACCCAUAGGAACUUGAGCUUUAGCGUCAGACCUAUAUUCACUCAGGCUUAACGCGUAGCUGAGUCCAAUGGUAUUUGGUCUGGAAUCUCGUCAAACUCACAUGUACUUGAGCUCAACACAUAAUUAAACUCAAGGGUGUUGGGUCAAGAAGCAAGCCAGACUCACAUCAUCUAGGUUAACACCUUGCUUUUGACCUUUUUUAUGAUUGGCUUCUUAAGCAAACAAAUUGUGUAUAAAAUAUACUAAUCUAGUAGUGGCCCCGUAAGGGUAUUUCUUCCAUCUUGCUUUUGAGUUAAGGUAUUCCAUCCAUUUUCAAGGAUUUAUGAGAGACAUCUUUAGGUAUUAUAAAUUGGGUUUAAGCCAAUUGCACCCCAAAUGAUGGGUGAUUUUAGGGGCGAGUAAAAAAAUUAAAAAACCAAUUAAACCAAGAAAACAAAAAAAAUAACAAAAAAAACUGAACGGUGAAAAAAACCAAAUUAAACUGAUUAGAAUGUUUAAAAAAAUUGACCGGUUUAGUUUUGGUUUCAUAAGCCUAUAUAUAUAUAAAUUGUGUCCAGCUUGCUAUGUGUGGAGUCAGUUGCACAACUCUUGGGUCCUAUGUCAAGAAUUGUGACUUAGGGCGUUUCUUUCUUUGCCAAAAGCUUCUGGCAGCCAAACCCAUAACACUUCCAAAACAUACCAAUAACCUUGGGUCUUGCUACCCAACAUGGCCUAAUAGUGUUGUGAAAGGCAUAGCCAAACCCAAAACACUUCAAAAAAGAACUGGGUUUGGUUGACCAGCCAAACCCAACAAUCUUAGGUCUGGCUCGGCAGCUAAACCCAACACCUUUUUGAAGUGUUUUGGGUAUAGCUCCACACUAUUGGGUCCUGUAGUAGGACCCAAUGCUAUUGGCACCUUCUUGGGUCUAAUUGGGUAGCCUGACCCAAUAUCUUUAGGUCCGGCUGUACAACCAUACCCAAAAUAGUUUUGGGUUCGACUGUUUAACAGGACACAAUAGGUUUGGGGACCAAAUAACACUAGGUCCAAACCAAAUUUUCUUGAGUCCAGUGUCCGGACGGUGUUGCACCUGAUACUAAUGGGUUCUGCGUCGCGACCCAAUUCUCUAGUGUCCAUGUUAGGACCCAUGGUUCAAGUAUCCGGCUUUAGGACCCGAUUGUAUUUUGUCCGCGUCAGGAGCCAAGUGUAAUGGGUCCUACUUUUGGACCUAAUUAUAUUGGUAUCGCAUGUGUGCGGUGUCGCGGCGAACUGGUUUCACUUUAAAUCUAAAAGUAAAUCUAUCAAGCAAAUAUGGGGAGACAAGAAAUUUUUGUCGCUUAUCGGUGGAAAAUGGAAUGUGAGUCGCCACCUAGUAUUUUGAUCACUAGGAACCCUAACUGGUCUCAGAGAUCGGGUACGGGACUGAUUGCGUAAAUGGAAGGUAUUAGUACCCCAAAUACGCUUUACCCAAGGUAAGCUGCAUUGUUUGAUUGUCUGAUAAAAGCUAAGGUGUUAUUGUAUUUCUAGUUGUUGGUCUGUCUAUGGUUCAAGAAAAAUCCUCCUCAAUAAAGAGGUCCUUAUCUUAUCGGGUAAAAACUUAAAUGUUCUAACGUCUAUAUGAAAACUAUAUUUUUAAUAUCAGGAAUGCGUUUUACGUAUAAAUUCGUAAUCCUAGAUACUAAAAGAAGACAAAAGGAUUUUUUUUGAAUUUUUGAAAUAUUGGCCUAGUUCUCAUGACUCUAACAAACUUGUUGUUAAAGCCAAAGUGCAUGCUAAUACAUAUAUAUUUUUUUGAAAUUUUUCCCUGUUGUAUGCAAAUAUAAUGUGAUGAUUUUUUAUAUAUAUUUUGGAGAGACUAGGCCGUAUGCAUGAAAACAAAACACUUUUUUAUUUUAUUAUAUAUUUUUUAUGCCUUGAUGAAAACCGGGUAUUUUAAUACUAGAUUUUUAUCUUUACGGUAUAAAAAUACAAACCAAUAUUAAGCAAUAAAAAUAUGCAGGAAAAUCAACAAUUUUUUUAAGGAUUUUUCAGAAUUUUGAAUAUAAAACAUUUUAUAUUUUAUAUUUUUUGAUGUAUUGAUGAAAACCAUGUAUUUUAAUACUAGAUUUGUAUCUUUACAGUAUAAAAAUAAAAACCAAUAUUGAUCAAAAUGCAGUAACAAUAUUGCGGAAAAUCACAAAUUUUUUGAAAUAAUUUUUGAAGAAUUUUGUUUUUUUUAUGGGUCGGGUCCAAUUCGGCCCAUGUGGCUGGGGCGGAACCAAUAGGCCUAACUAGGCUGGACCCGGCCCAAAAGAAGACCGGGCUGAAAUCAGCCUAAAAUAAAAUGGGCCUACCUUCUAUAGGGUUGGACUCAGCCCAGCCGUAGGGCUGGGCUUAUGUUCCAGCCCGAAACAAAUGUGGAGCACAGUCCAGUUAAUUAAUUAGCACAGUAACCAGCUAAUUAUUUUUCUUGCAAGAAGAUGAACAGUAAGAGGGUUGAGGGGAAGAGUUACCAAGGGUGAUGAGCUUGGACGGAGGAGCUCUUCCUCUUCUCUGCUGUUUUUGACGUUGCUUCUUCUCUUGGUUUCCUUUGUUCCCUCUGUUAACGAUAUUCUUCCUUCUCUGCAGCGGCUUCGUGGAGGUGCUGGUGGUGGCGACCUGGGGAGGGGCUGAGAAGGUGGUUUGGCGAUGUUGUUGCUGCAGUUUUUUUUUCCUUCGUAGAGGCGCAGGUUCCUGUUUUUUCUUCAAUGGUGUUGUAGCGUGUGGGAGGAAGAUGAUGAGCUGAGGAAGGAUGACGAUGGCGUGGGCAGUGCUGUUGUGUUUGUGUUCCUGGUGGCGUUGUUGUCGGGGUAUCCGGCUGUGGUCGCUCUUCCUCCUCUCUUCUGUCGUUACUUCUCUCUGUUUAUGUCACCUUGUUUCUCUGCUUCUUCUUCGCUAGCUCUAAAAGGAAGGCAGGCGGUUGUAGUGUGGUUUCAAACGGUGGAGAGAGAGAGAGAGCAGAGAGAGAGGUUACCGUUCUUCUCUUCCCCUCUAUUUUCCUUCUUUCUCUUCUGCCAUGUUUCUCACCUCUCUAUCGUCUUUCGUUAAAAAAAAAACUCUCCCCCUUUCUCUCUUGUUUUUUUUUCCGUCUCUUGUUCAAAAAACAAAAUUGACCCUUCUGUCUCACAAAAAACCUCCCUCCUCUGUUUUGGUUUCUCUCUUCUCUACACUCUCACAGUACCUCUUCUCGUUUCAAACUUCCCUAUCCUUUCAGUUUCCAAAAGCCCUGCCCCUCAUUCUGGUGUUGGGCGCAAUAUUUAUAGAGCAAAGAAAAAGCGUCUUGCUGUCGCGCAUGGGAAGCAGGAGACACCGGGUGAGGUCUCCAACAGGCGUGGCUUUGCAGGGCACGUCUACACUGUUUUCUAGCCAUGGAAUUUUAGGUUUAUGCAGCAGCAUGCAGGGAGAGAGAAGUUUCUCAAAAUGACACUAUUUUUUUUUUUUUGAUAGGGUAUUGAAAAAUGAGUUACAACAAUUGGGAUAUAUGUCAGGAUUCAAUUCUCUUGGGUCCUACAUAGUUUAAGAUUAAUGAAUUUUAGAUUUUUAAAUAUUAUUAUUUAUGUUAUAAAUAUUAUUAUUUUUAUUAUAAUUAAAAAUAUUAAUAUAAAAAUAUUGUUUUUUGUGCUAUAAAUAUUAUUAUUUUUAUUAUAAUUAAUUUUAUUAAUAAAAUAAUUAAUAAAUUUUAAAAAAAAUUAUUAUUAAUAUUGAAAAUCAACCAUAGAUUUGAUUUGAAAUGUAAAAUUGAAAAUUUUUAUUGUUAUCAUUAAUAAAAAAAAAUUAAAAAAAUUAUUAUUACUAUUGAAGAAAACCCAUAAUUUUUCAAAAAGAUUAACAAAUAUAAGAAUUUAGACAGACAAGUUAAAUAUUAUUACUUAUAUUAUAAAUAUUAUUGUUGGGUUUGUCAUUACAGUCAGACUCGACUCCUUUAAUUUUUCUGUUUCAACCAGACCCAAAGCUUUUGAGCCAUAUAUUUUUUUCAUAUUUUUUAUUAAAAUAAAACGUUGGCUGCAAUAUAGUGCAGGCCACCUAACUAAUAAUGGACUCCAAAUAAAUUAAUUCUGCUUCAAGGAAAACAAACAUAUUAAAAUCAUAAAAACAUUUUACUAUAAAAUAUUAUACAGAAUAAACGUAACUUACUCUAAAUUUCCUCAAACAAUCUUGCAUUGCAAGAUUAAAUGGGCAGUAACAACGCCAGGAAAGCUUUCUUGUGGAUUUAAACACAUUUUUCUAUUCCUCUUAAUUAUGGGAGGGGGGAGCUAUCUUCUGCUGUGUAGGAAGAUCUGAUGAAACAAAGGAACAAUUGUUUUCAUUUUACCAAAAACAUAUUUAGUGGAAGACAACCCUGCCAUCACUGGUGAAGAGCAAGGUCGCAUUACUGGGGACUGGGGCGUCAUCCCUUCUAGCAGCCCACACAACAGUCUUUAGUGAAAUCCCGGAUAGAAAAACCCCAAUAGAAUAGCCGUCGCGUUGUCGGAAAAAUCCGAAAGCAUGAAGACCAGAAGGUGACAACCAUAAGGAGUUUGGGUUAGGUGUUAGAGAAGAUCCGAGGGUUAUAUUGGUCUGUCUUUGAGCUGAAGCUGUAAAAGAUAAGGCGAGAAGAAGAAAAAAGAUGAUAGAAGCCAUGGAUAGGGAUUUAGCUCUUGUGUGGUAUGUGAGUGUCAAAAUAAGGAUGUCUAUUGUUCCAGCACUCCAUUAUCUUUCUGUGGUUUCCAGCAGUCAAGCCAGGCACUCAAAACAUAAAAGUCUAGCCAUAGAAUCCACCGCGUUUCCCUACCAAUUGGUGGAAAUUGUUGCUCUUACUUUUAUGCUUUCAAAGUCAAUGCAGUCAACUCACCGAAAAAACUUGGCAAUUACUUGGCGCUGGUCCCCCUUUUCGAUCUUGGUAUCCCCCAUUUGAUCAGCCAUUUGCUAAUUUCCCCUGGACUGUUCUUGGUUCUAAUUUUCUGCAGCAGAUUCUUUUUUAUUUGUCAAGUACCAUCAAUAUGCUUUUGAUAACACAAUCUUGAGCUUCCUGCAGACAGCUUCAACUACUUGAGAGAUGCCAAUUGUGGUGCUAAUGCUAAUACCCCGCCAUAAUACUAGGGCAAGGCAGAACAAAUGGAUUAUAUUCAUGUCCUUCGAUGCAAAAGGCUAGAUAGCAACGUCACUUUCUAACAAAAGAUCAUGUUAUAAUUAACCCUUAUGGACAACUUAAUUAGUUUAUGGACAACUUAAUUAGUCCUUUCUUGAGUUUUUUUUUCAAUAAUCAUGAGUUUGAGUUCUUUCAGAAUCAUUAAAAGUUUACAUGAUCAUUAAAUUAAGAAUAUGUGGGAUUAGUCGAGAUGAGCACAAGUUAAUCCGGACAUCAACGUUAACAAUAAAAAAAAAAAAUCAUGUUAUAAUUUAUAUGUGAAAAGUAGGGAUUUUGAAUUCGGGUAAUCUCAACAAGGUUGUACUUUUCUUUCUCCAGGUCAACUUGGAUCUUCCUCUGUUCUCAUGUUUAGCUUCCUGCAAGAACAUUCCUUCCGAGGCACAUUUUUCCUGAAAUUAUACUAUAUAUGGGAACUUUCAAGUUUUGUUUGAAAUAAAACUUUUAUUUGCUUCCUCACGAUUUCAUUUUAGUCUCGAAUUUAAGAUAUUUUUUCGUAAAUACACUAGUUUGGAUAUGAAUGGCCAGCGUGAAACUUCAUAGAAGAUGGACCGUUGAUUCUAUGGUUUUUUCCACACGUAUUUUGCAGGAACAGCAAGUGGACGUAUGAGUAAAGUAAUGUAUCUCUUGUCCUUGGCUGUAACCGGUCUUUCUUUAUCUUGUAAUAACAAGGUGAGUUCGAUUGAGGGUUCCGCUGUAUGACUAUAUUCAGAGUAUAAUUAAGGUGGUCACAACAGGGACUGAGUCAAUGUACAACCGAGCAUUUGCUGGCAGGCUCUUCUCAGCAAAAAUGUCUUCUCUUACUAGCUUCAAAGCCAGUGGUGUAUCCUCAAUACAAGUUGUUGCAACUCUGAAGAACAUAUUGCUAGUAUUUGUUGAGACUUGAGAAUAACAUUACCCAUCUAGAAACCUGGCCAAAAUAUAGGUUUCAGUUUUCCAGCCAUAAUCCCGACACAUGAGAUAAGGUGGGAAACAACUUUACAGGCAUUAACAUUAGAAGAAAAAUCAACAGGAAGCUAUGCUGCGUAAACAUAAAGGAACUCAGUACGAAAUAGCAAUUUUAUAAAGAAAAGGAAUACAUGACCUGAAAAAUAAAAUACCACACCCUGCAGAUGAAUCUCUUAUUCCGAACCACAAAACGCAGCUCAUAUAGCAGUAAAAAAAGAAGUAGGACUUGGAGGGAUUGGGAUUUCGACUGUCCCCUCCAACAUGAGGAGUACCUUUUUCAUUGAAGGGCGGAGGGAUAGCUCAUCAAGAGUGCACCAAAGUCCCACUUUAACCAUCCUAUCUAACUGUUUCUUUUCGACGAUUUCAUCACCCACAAGUUUGUCCAUAUCACCGUCCAGAAAACAUUGGUAAACCCACUGUUCGAGAACAGCUUCAUCCUCUGGAAGACUCCAAUCCACAUUCUUUCGACAACAUGUGAUCUCCAACAACAUAACUCCAAAGCUAUAAACAUCUGCUUUAACUGUCACCGGCAUAUUCCGGUGCCAUUCUGGUGCUACAUAUCCCCUCGUCCCUCUGAUUCCCGUGAAGGUAUUAGUUUGGUCUGACUUCAGAAUUUUUGCCAAUCCAAAGUCAGAAACUUUGGGGCACCUGCUUUCAUCUAUUAGUAUAUUCUGAGGUUUUAUAUCACAGUGGAUGAUCUGAGUCUCGCACUCUUCAUGUAGAUAAACAAUACCCCUUGCAAUGUUGCGAGCAAUUUCCAACCUUUCAUGGAAGCAAGGUCGUUUUUCAAGUGAGAAGAGUAUGUCAGCGAGGGAGCCAUUGCUCAUGUACUCGUAUACCAGGAGCCUGUGAUGUUCAUCAUGGCAAUAGCCGAGCAGACGGGCUAGGUUUCUGUGAUGUGUUUUCCCAAUGACUUUCAUCUCAUUCUGAAAUUCUCUUUCCCCUUCAGCUAGAACUUUCUCCAGUCUCUUGACAGCAACAACCUUCUGAGUACUUGAUAUGAUCCCUUUAUAAACUGUCCCAAAUGAUCCCCUGCCAAUUUCUUCCUUGAAACCACCAGUAAUAUUUUCUAGCUCUGCAUAAGUGAAAGCUCGAGGAGCAAAUAACCAAGUAAUACAAUAAAUAUAGCAUAAUAGUUUAAGGAAGAUUGCAAGUAGAUCUAACGACAACAUUAAUAGUUGCAUAUGUGUGUGUGUGAAGAUUCAAAAAAACCUAAUUUAGAAAAUACAAAAAAAAAAACCAAGUAAUGAUAGAAAAAUAGAAAGAAAAGUAUUAAAUUCUGUUUAGAUUGUUCACCUAACAAUUUAAAUUUAUUUAAAUUCUAUAUAGAUAUUGUAUUGCGAUUGGUCACGUACCGGUUUGGAUCCAUUUAGAUUUUGAUUUGGUUACCUAACAAUUAAAAUCCAUUUCAAUUUUCAUGUAUUAUCUUUUUAUAUAUAUAUAUAUAAAUUUAUUGUACAAAUAUAAUGGAAAAUGAAUUAUAACUGUUGUAAUCCAUUUUUUAUCUCUAAUUUUUCACAUGUAUUUUCAAAAAUAGAACAAAUCUUCCAAAAUAUAUUUUCAAUGAAAUUCAAUUAUUAUUUAUUUAUUAUUAUUUUUGUGUGCGUGACAAUAUAGAAAAAUAAAAAUAAAAUAAAAUUAAGGAAAUGAAAUGAAAGGCAAGAAAAACUUCAGACCGGUAUGAUUGAUGACUAAAUAAUAUAUGGAAAAUCAAGAUGAGAUUGGAAAAUUUUUGCAAAAAAUCAAUAAGAAGAUGAAAUAAAAUUUUAUAAUAGUAGUUUUCCUGUUUUGAGAGUAUCCCACAAACAACAUAUAUAAACAUGAGAGAACACUACACACACAAGUACACAGAGAUAGAGAGAUUAAAAAAGACAAGUAUACUUUUGGGCUCGUUCUUGGAGCUUACAAGCAAGUUCCAUAUAGGAAAAACCUUGGUCAACAAGAAGAAAAAAUGGCAAAAAUUAGAUUGCUCUCUGCAAGCGUAAUUCAAGCCACUGCUAACAAGGUGACAAAUGAGAGGGCUGAGUUGACUCAAUGUGAUCUAAAGCUUCUUCCGCUAGGUGCUUCUCUUCCUCAAACCCAAAUCAUCAGAAGAUCAAGACUUGUUCAUCCAACAGUUGAAAACGUCACUUUCUCGGACUCUAGAUUUCUUCACCCCUCCCGUGUUGGAAGUUAAAACCGGUGUGGUAUGGGAUCAACACAGUAAUACAAGAUAAAAAAAACUCAAGAACAAAGCUAAACAACAAGAAAAAGAAGGAGAGGAAGCUUGUUAGCCACUGUAGAACAUGAUGAUAACACAGUCUCCAAUUUCAUUGACUGCAAAAAUGCAGGAGCCCAGUUUGUUCAUGGCGCCAUGGCCGAUGGGGUAACCAUGGCUGACAUCCUCCGGCCAGUUUAUGUUCCUCCAAUUGUCCACUCUUUCUUUCCAUUGAAAGGGGUCCUAAACCACGGGGCUACUGAUGUCUCCAAGCCAUUGCAUGCCUGCAGUUCAAGUCACUGAACUUGUUGGUGGCAUCUUUAAUGGCUGUACCAUGAACCAUAUAGUUGUUGAUGGCACAUCGUUUUGAAAUUUCUUCAACUCUUGGUCUGAAAUCCAUCGUGGGUUGGAUCACAUCUCCAAGCCUCCUGUUCUUGAACGUUGGUCACCUCCCAAUCGUAGCUGCAGCUGCCUGAUCCAAAAGCAAUAAGCCGUUGCCUGCAUGCUUGUACCUUUUUUUUCUCCAAAAAAAUGGGUGUAUAAGGGGUAGUUUUUCCAGGCGUAAGACACGUCAUCCAUUAGUGUAUUUCCCGGUUAUUUUCAGUCCUAUAAAUGCAAGGUUUGAUUUACUAUAUCCCUAAAGCUUGAUUUUUAAGUAAUAUUCACCUGAAAACAUCCAAACAAAACUCAAUAAAUCUUUUUUGAAUCCAAAAUUAUCCUCUAAUCAUUCUAAAAAUUAAAAAUCAAACCAAAUGAAAAAAACAUUACAAGCCUUAAAGGGUGUUUGAGAGUGUGGUAGCGGUUGCUUUUCAAAUAGCUUUUCGUGCCGAAAAGCAUGCCAAUAAUAUUUUUUUAUUUUUUAAAAAUCAUUUUUGACAUUAGCACAUCAAAACGAUCCAAAAAAUACAAACCGCACUCAAUUUUAGCAAAAAAUAAAAAUAAAUUUUUUUUGAAUUUUUUCAAAAAGCCGAUUUGGCCGCAAUGCCAAACAGGCAAUUAAUCAAUCUAUCUGUCUAUAUAUAUAUAAAACUGAAAUAUAUAUAAAAAUUGAAAAUUGAAGAUUGCACUAUAUAUAACUAAAGAGUGCAAUUUACAUUGAAGAGGGAAAGUUCUUGCUUUUUUUUUUUUAAUUAUUAUUAUUAAUGUUGAUGUUCGGAUUAGCUUACUCGUACCUCAAUUAAUUUAAAAUGUUCUAAAAUUAACGACCAUGUAAACUCUUCUAGUGAUUCUAAGAUUUAUAAAAUUCAAACCGAUGAUUUUUAAAAAACAAGUCUAGAGUCUAAUUAAUUAAACUAUACCUUUUAAAAUUAAGUUAUUAUUCUUUUAUUCAUAUUGAUUAUUGACAUUUAGCGAAGAUUUGUUUUUUAAAAAUUCAUGUUUGCAUGACUCUCUAAAAGACCCUACACAAGUUCGAUUUUUCUUUUCUUUCAAUUAGAUUUUUUUUUUCUGUUUUCACUUUAAUUAAAUAGAGUCAGGUUGAGCAUCAUAUAUAUUGCACGAUACUCAUCUUAAUGAAAAUAGGAUGAGACUUGGCUAUUAUUUUUUCUAUUAACAAGCUUUAAUAACGUAAUUAUAAUGUAUGUGAAUGAUUGAAUUAUAUUUAAUCGAAUUGUCUAAAUGCAAUGAAUAUAGCAUUAAACUGACUAAAUUCUUUUCAUAAGGGUUUAUUUACUUAUUUAACAAUAAUUUUUAAACUUAAUCCCACAAUUAAUUUGAAUAAGUUUUAGAUCACGAGUCUAUUUAUUUUUUAUUUUAUAAAUGAUAAAAAUAAUAUUAUUUAAAAAAAUAAUAAGUUUUAAUUAAGCUUUUUUUAGAUUGACCAGAUUAUUGGUCAAACCAAGUUUUUUAUCUAGUCAUAUUGAGCUAAGUCUUCUUUUAUUUUUAUUGAAAUUGACUUAAUUAGAUAUCAAAUCACAACUCAACCCUUUAGUCUGUUGAAGUUUUAAAUUAAUGGAUUUAACACAAAUACAAGGUUUGAAUGGGGCUUCUCCAAGGAAAACUCGAAUAAGAGAGCUAUGUUUAGAUGGUGUUUGUGUGUGAGUUUUAAUUAAUUAAUUUUAUUAAAAUUUGAAUUUUUUUAAUUAUUAUUUUAGUAUUUUUUGAUUGUUUUAAUAUGGUGAUAUUAAAAAUAAAUUUUAAAAAAGAAAAAAAUAUAUAUUUUUAAUAUUUUUCAAAUACAAAAUAUUUAAAAAAAAUUAUUGAUAGACUGUUAAAUACUCUUUCAAAUAAAAAAUAUUUUUAAAAAAUAUAUUAAAAGCCCCCUUUAAGCUUACCAAAACCUCAGAGCAAAAAACAAGAAAGGAAAAGAGUAAAACAAAAUGGCUCCAGCCAAGAAAGGAAAACCGAAGGCAAACUCGGCCGUGUCAACUCAGUCAAAACCCACAGCCCCAAGUCCCCAAAACAAUUUCCCAUCUUGCAUACGUGCAGUCCCUCCUUCCUCCGUCGCCAUCACCAUCCACGCCAAACCCGGUUCCAAAUCCGCCUCCAUCACUGGUGGGUCUAUACACACGUGCAAAAGGACUGUUUUGAUUCUUGUUUAGGUUAAAAAAUUAAAGCUUCAAUGUGUUUUUUUCUUCCUGAUAUUGUAUGUAGAUUUGAGUGAUGAAGCGGUGGGAGUACAAAUAGAUGCACCUGCUAAAGAUGGUGAAGCUAAUGCUGCACUUCUUGAUUACAUUAGCUCUGUAAGUCUUUUUUUUUUCCCUUACGUUAUAAGUUGGUUAUUCGUUUUUAAUGUUUUGUGAUAGAGAAUUAUUGGCUUAAUUUUCGAGAAUUUUACAGGCAUGUGUGAUGUUAAUCAAUGCCUGUCAAAUUUUUUGAUGUUUCGGUACUACGCAUAUGGAGAGAAAUAUUUUGAGUUGGUACAGUUUUGGCUGAAUUUUCUAGAGGAAAGGAGAUUUGUAGCAUGAGGUCGGGAGACGAAAGUGGCUUUUUUUUUUUUUGGAGAGAAACGGUAGAACGGAUUCUUACGGUUCAUCAAAUUUUACAGGCAUGUGUGAUGUUAAUCAUUGCCUGUCAAUUUUUUUGAUGUUUUGGUACUACGCAUAUGGAGAGAAAUAUUUUGAGUUGGUACAGUUUUGGCUGAAUUUUCUAGAGGAAAGGAGACUUGUAGUAUGAGGGCGGGGGAUGAAAGUGGCCUUUUUUAUAUUUUUUUGGAGAGAAAUGGUAGAACAGAUUCUUACAGUUCAUGAAUUAAUUAGAGAGGGUUUUAUUUUGUCUUUGGGCUUGCAUGCAAAAGGAAUGGUGAAUCUAUAGUCCUUAUAUUUAGCCUAUCAGUAUUUUGAUGAUGGAUUUGCUGGAUUCUAGACAUGCGCAAUGAGUUAGAAAACAGCAUCAAUGUGCUUAAUGUAGAGUAUUUGGAAGCAGUCAAAUAUUGAUGCUUUUUUUGGGAUCAUGGCUCGUGUCCUUGAGAUUAUUUUGAAAGAGGGUUAUGCUGGCACUUUGUUAACUUCUAUUGGGAGUUUUUAUUAUGAUAGUGUAUCUGGCAUUUUCCUAUUUCAUCAAGUUGGUGUAAGUAUUUGAUGCAAGUUGAGGAUUGAGUUAAUUUUGAACGCAUAUGGUAAUAAUAAUUUUUUUACUGACCUUUUGAAACCAUGAAUUGCUAGGAAGAGUUUGAAAUUGAAAGAGGAUGAAAGAGUAAAUGCAUUAAGAGAGAGGAUGCGAUUUCAUGAGUGAUAUAAUCAACUGGGAUCCCUGGCUUAGCCCAAUAGUAGAUGAAAAGCUUCUCUCUUCCAUAGGAUAAGUGUGAUUUAGAGCAUUUAAUCUUCUGAAAAAAUAAUAAUGAGGUGUUUACUGUUCAAUCACAACUGUAAACAUGGUUGAAUAACUGAAGAGAGUUAUUUAUGAAAAUUAACAAAUUCUUGUCGUGAUAUCUUGCAUUUAGAUAGAGAACCUCCUCUGUUUUAGUACAGAAAAGGUUCACAAGUAUGGUUCUCUCAACCAACAGGUGUUGGGGGUGAAGCGGAGGCAGGUAUCCAUAGGCUCUGGUUCUAAAUCGAGAGACAAGGUGGUGAUUGUGGAGGAGGUAACUCUACAAAAUGUUUUUGAUGCUUUGGAGAAAGUGUCCAAAUGCUGCUAAUUUAAAAAGAAGAAGAGAGGUUCAGUGUGCUUUCGUUAACAAGAGAUAUGAUUUACAUGAUCUUAUACUGAACACAAGGUAUUUGGAUAGGACAACAUUCCUAGUCCACGCUGAUGUUUAAAAUAGUUUGGUCUGUAGUUUUGUUUCUUCUAUCUCACACUGAAACAAUAAUCUUUUUAUUUAAAACUGUAAGUACAGAAGCUGUAGUGUUACUUAUGAAUAUAAUGACUGAUGUUCCAUGAAUAUUCAAGUUAGAUGCUAAUUUAUUCAUCUUCACCAUGGUUCUUCUAGUUCUCAUUUUUCUUUAUGAUUUCUUCCCCCUUUUUUCUUAUGAAUUUCACUAAGAGAUCAUUAUAGCUAUACUUUUGCACGACAGGCUUGCUAAUACCUAGCGACAUGCUGUGAAAACCAUCUUAUUUUGUCCUCCAGCUUUUGAUUCUUCUGGCUGUUUUGCCAUUAAUAAUGCUAGAUUUAAGGUUUAGGUCCGCUGUUGUUAUUACCUGAUUUUUGUGUAAUUCGCCUAUAAAUGAAAUUACUCUCUAGUGAUAAAAGGAAUGGAGUGCAGAUAUUGUGUCAUGAACAAAAGGCUAGUAUUUGUUUAUUGCAGGAGCAAGAGAAGUCUCGGCUCAUACUUGGCCAGGAAAACAUUUAUCUUUUUCACACUGUAUAAGCAUUUUGUCAUGAGGGUAAUCUUAUUGAUUAAGAAUCAUCUAUCAGAAGUGGAGUAUCCUCAAUACAAGUUGUUGCAACUCUGAAGAACAUAUUGCUAGUAUUUGUUGAGACUUGAGAAUAGCAUUACCCAUCUAGAAACCUGGCCAAAAUUAUAGGCUUCAGUUUUCCAGCCAUAAUCCCGACACAUGAGAUAAGGUGGGUAACAACUUUACAGGCAUUAACAUUAGAGGAAAAAUCAACAGGAAGCUCCCAAAUGCUGCGUAAACAUAAAGGAACUCAGUACGAAAUAGCAAUUUUAUAAAGAAAAGGAAUACAUGACCUGAAAAAUAAAAUACCACACUCUGCAGAUGAAUCUCUUAUUCCGAACCACAAAACGCAGCUCAUAUAGCAGUAAAAAAAGAAGUAGGACUUGGAGGGAUUGGGAUUUCGACUGUCCCCUCCAACAUGAGGAGGACCUUUUUCAUUGAAGGGCGGAGGGAUGGCUCAUCAAGAGUGCACCAAAGUCCCACUUUAACCAUCCUAUCUAACUGUUUCUUUUCGACGAUUUCAUCACCCACAAGUUUGUCCAUAUCACCGUCCUGAAAACAUUGGUAAACCCAUUGUUCGAGAACAGCUUCAUCCUCUGGAAGACUCGAAUCGACAUUCUUUCGACAACAUGUGAUCUCCAACAACAUAACUCCAAAGCUGUAAACAUCUGCUUUAACUGUCACCGGCAUAUUCCGGUGCCAUUCUGGUGCUACAUAUCCCCUAGUCCCUCUUAUUCCGGUGAAGGUUUUAGUUUGGUCUGACUUCAGCAACUUUGCCAAUCCAAAGUCAGAAACUUUGGGGCACCUGCUUUCAUCUAUUAGUAUAUUCUGAGGUUUUAUAUCACAGUGGAUGAUCUGAGUGUCGCACUCUUCAUGUAGAUAAACAAUACCCCUUGCAAUGUUGCGAGCAAUUUCCAACCUUUCAGGGAAGCAAGGUCGUUUUUCAAGUGAGAAGAGUAUGUCAGCGAGGGAGCCAUUGCUCAUGUACUCGUAUACCAGGAGCCUGUGAUGUUCAUCGUGGCAAUAGCCGAGCAGACGGACUAGGUUUCUGUGAUGUGUUUUCCCAAUGACUUUCAUCUCAUUCUGAAAUUCUCUUUCCCCUUCAGCUAGAACUUUCUCCAGUCUCUUUACAGCAACAACCUUCUGAGUACUUGAUAUGAUCCCUUUAUAAACUGUCCCAAAUGAUCCGCUGCCAAUUUCUUCCUUGAAACCACCAGUAAUAUUUUCUAGCUCUGCAUAAGUGAAAGCUCGAGGAGCAAAUACCUCAUUCAAUGCAGUGCCAUCAUUAUUGGGCACCCUUUUAUAUGCCAAUACAUGAUAUCUGUAAACGAUGAUUCCGAAAAUCGACACCAUAGCAAGCCCAAAAACAACAAAUGAACCACUUAUUAUUCGGAUAGUCCUGCCACUGCCAAGGUUCUUCUCGGUUAUAGGCUCUUUUCUGUCCAUGGGUCUACCCACCUUGACGACAGCCAAGUUCGAACUGUCCAAGUUUCUCCUCCCAUAUCUCAAAGGAAACCUUUGCUUUCUGCAGUACUGCCCAUCAGUGAAUAAUGCUGCUUCACAGUUACAGUCUUCCAAACAGGCUUGCUUACAAUUGUCUUUCGUUGUUGAUGACAAAACGGAGUAUGAAACAUCUUCCCAGACAAUAUUAGACAGCUCUUCCAUGGUGUAUGUGCUACUUCCAUUCUUGUCCCUUGCAACUUACAGCAUCGAAAUCCCUCUCACAGCCAGAAGUCCAAUUUCCCUGGGUAACAAACUUAAAUCCAGGAAGACAAAUACAUUCAGCUUCCUGAUCCUUCAUAACACAAUAUCCAUUAAGACCACAUGAUCCUUUCGGGUCGCACUUGUUGCUUGUGGAUGACCACACAUCUGACCAGUUUCCAUUCCGUAUCAGAUUUCGUGAAUAUAAUCUGAAAAUCCCAUCAGCAUCAAGUUUCAUAAUAUUAAUUGUUUCUUUCGUGGGAUAUCCUCCAGCUGUAAUGUUUUUUAUGUUGAAUCCUGUGGAAUUGAGCAGGUAGAGACGGCCAUCCGGAUCAAGAUUUAGGGUCACAUCAUCUCCCUUCCCAUCAGUAAAAGAUGAAAAAUAAGAAUAUGGAGCUGUAUCUGGAGUAUUAACAGGAUACUGCACAAGGUUGCCAUCAUUUUGCAUCUUGAGUCGGUAAAUACCAGUUGAGAGGUCAGUUUCUGAAACAGGAGAAAACAGCUCUGCACCCGCUUUGAGCUGUUGAGUUGGCAAAAGGGUAUCUGUUGGGUGCUCAAAACUCUGCCAUAUAAUCUGGCGAUCAGAAUUAUAUAGCACAAAGUUGCCUGAAUCAGACAUAGAAGCUAAAGAAGCUGGCUGGGAAGCAGAAACUAUCGCAGUCUCACCCCCUUGUGCUGAUGUCAAGACAACCCUGCCAUCACUGGUGAAGUUCAAGGUCGCAUUACUGGGGACUGGGGCAUCAUCCCUUCUAGCAGCCCACACAACAUUCUGUAGUGAAAUCCCGGAUAGAAAAACCCCUAUAGAAUAGCCAUCGCGUUGUCGGAAAAAUCCGAAAGAAUAAAGACCGGAAGGUGACAACCAUGAGGAGUUUGUGAUAGGUGUUAGAGAAGAUCCCAGGGUUAUAUUGGUCUGUCUUUGAGCUGAAGCUGUAAAAGAUAAGGCGAGAAGAAGAAAAAAGAUGAUAGAAGCCAUGGAUAGGGAUUUAGCUCUUGUGUGGUAUGGAGUGUCAAUUUAAGGAUGUCUAUUGUUCCAGCACUCCAGUCUCUUUCUUUGGUUUCCAGCAGUCAAGCCAGGCACUCAAACAUAAAAGUCUAGCCAUAGAAUCCACCGCGUUUCCCUACCAAUUGGUGGAAAUUGUUGCUCUUACUUUUAUGCUUUCAAAGUCAAUGCAGUCAAGUCACCGAAAAAUCUUGGCAAUUACUUGGCUCUGGUCCACUUUUUCCAUCUUUUGUAUCCCCCAUUUGAACAGCCAUUUGCUAAUUUCCCCGUGACUAUUCUUGGUUCUAAUUUUCUGCAGCAGAUUCUUUUUAUUUGCCAAGUACCAUUCAAUACGCUUUGAAGACACGAUCUUUAGCUUCCUGCAGACAGCUUCAACUAGUUAAGAAACAUCGAUUGUGGUGCCAAUGGUAAUACCCUGGCAUUAUACUAGGGCAAGACAGAACAACUUGCUAGCUUAUAGAAAUGUCCCUCAAAUGCUAAAGCCUAGCUAGCAACCUCAGUUUCUAACGAAAGAGCAUCUCUACAUGUUGCGUAACUAACAAUCCCUUGAAUAUUAAAACUGAAAAGUGGAACUCAUUGGACCGUUGAUUUUAUGAUCAAUUCCACCGUACGACUUAAUUCAGAGUACAAUUGAGGUGGUCACGGCAAGGACUGAGUCAAGGGACAACCUAGCAUUUGCUGACCUGCUCUUCUCAGCAAAAGCUUCUUCUCUCACCAGCUUCAUGCCAUGGUUGCUGAUUGGAGGGGCUUUAUAAUUUAUUUAUUACAAAUGUGCUAUGAAAAAGAAAAAAAAUGCUAUGAUAUUAAAAAAAAAAAAAGAAUUUCCUCGUAGCUAUGAUAUUUGUGAUAUUAAUUAUGUUACACUUGUGAUCAUGUUGAUGAGAAUAAUAAUAAAUUCAUAUCGUUUUAGUAAUGUUUAUGUUAGCAAGUAAUGCUACUGAAGGUAAAGAAGCUGUGACGAAGAUGAUGGUGAUGUAAUGGUAAUGACGAUUAAAGUGAUUCAAAAAUAUUUUUCUUUUGAUAAUUUAUUAGUGUAUAUAUUUCAAAUGUUUAAGAUAUUUUUCAAAUAAAUGUACCUUAACUAUGAUAAAUGAUAUAUUCUCCGUUUGUUUGCAAUUUGAUUGUAAAGGCUUCCUUUUAACAUAAUUCUGCUUGAUAUACUCCAUGUAAUUACAAACUAAUUAGCUCAUUUUGGUCUUCUCACUUCUGGCAAUUAGUCAGUUUGAUGGCAACGUGCAACAAUGUACGGUCACCAACUGUUGUAUUGGACUUCGAUUCACCAAUAAUGCCCUGCAACUGAGUUUGAGCGUAGGAAUGGACAUUUGCAUUUUAGGCAAGGAAUUGCCUUGUAGAAUAGAAGAAGAAGAAGAAGAAGAAGGGGAAAAAACAAGCAAAGAUCAUAGUCUCAUUAAUUCUAUUCUUCGUAAAGAGCUCACUCUUGAGAUAACAUAAGAUCAACAAACGUUGUUUGUACUAAGAACACGUGAAGCUUUCAUGCUAACAUUUUCUUUUCUCCUCUUUAUAAAACUUUUUUUUUAAUAUAUAAGAUACGAUGGGAAACAACUUUACAGGCAUUAACAUUAGAAGAAAAAUCAACAGGAAGCUCCCAAAUGCUGCGUAAACAUAUAGCAAUUUUAUAAAGAAAAGGAAUACAUGACCCGAAAAAUAAAAUACAACACUCUGCAGAUGAAUCUCUUAUUCGGAACCACAAAACGCAGCUCAUAUAGCAGUAAAAAAAGAAGUAGGACUUGGAGGGAUUGGGAUUUCGACUGUCCCCUCCAACAUGAGGAGGACCUUUUUCAUUGAAGGGCGGAGGGAUGGCUCAUCAAGAGUGCACCAAAUUCCCACUUUAACCAUCCUAUCUAGCUGUUUCUUUUCGGCGACUUCUUCGCCCACAAGCUUGUCCAUAUCACCGUCCUGAAAACAUUGGUAAACCCACUGUUCGAGAACAGCUUCAUCUUCUGGAAGACUCCAAUCCACAUUCUUUCGACAACAUGUUAUCUCCAACAACAUAACUCCAAAGCUGUAAACAUCUGCUUUAACUGUCACCGGCAUAUUCCGGUGCCAUUCUGGUGCUACAUAUCCCCUCGUCCCUCUGAUUCCGGUGAAGGUUUUAGUUUGGUCUGACUUCAGCAACUUUGCCAAUCCAAAGUCAGAAACUUUGGGGCACCUGCUUUCAUCUAUUAGUAUAUUCUGAGGUUUUAUAUCACAGUGGAUGAUCUGAGUGUCGCACUCUUCAUGUAGAUAAACAAUACCCCUUGCAAUGUUGCGAGCAAUUUCCAACCUUUCAGGGAAGCAAGGUCGUUUUUCAAGUGAGAAGAGUAUGUCAGCGAGGGAGCCAUUGCUCAUGUACUCGUAUACCAGGAGCCUGUGAUGUUCAUCAUGGCAAUAGCCGAGCAGACGGACUAGGUUUCUGUGAUGUGUUUUCCCAAUGACUUUCAUCUCAUUCUGAAAUUCUCUUUCCCCUUCAGCUAGAACUUUCUCCAGUCUCUUUACAGCAACAACCUUCCGAGUACUUGAUAUUAUCCCUUUAUAAACUGUCCCAAAUGAUCCCCUGCCAAUUUCUUCCUUGAAACCACCAGUAAUAUUUUCUAGCUCUGCAUAAGUGAAAGCUCGAGGAGCAAAUUCCUCAUUCAUUCCCGUACUAUCAUUACUGGGCACCUG